CAUUUCUACGUACACGAUUCUUUUUCAAACAAGAAGUUACAUGAUAAAUUUGAUAAAUAAAACAGCAUAAAGGUGCAUAUCUGUAGAAAUGUGACACAGUUUGCAAUUUAUUAUCAAAGAUCGGUCGGUGUCUCCUAAAGUACUACACUAACACAUGGUUUUGUUUGAAAGCAAAACAUCAGAAAAAAAAGUGUACUCUCUAACUUCUUAAGCAUUUGAAUGAGGUGAUCAUACGGUUCAACAUAUACAAUAGGUUGAUAUUCUUAUUUGGAGUAUGACCAGCAAUUGAAUGGCCUCUUUUCCUACUUGUUUUUCACUUCCCCAUGCAGGCUACUACGUACGCACCCUGCAAGCACCAGAGAGUCCAUUGUCCGAGACGACUAAUCAUCACCCUACAUCUUUGAGGUCUAGAAGAAGGCAGAACAUGGACCAAUGCCCACAGAAGGGCCCCACAGACAAUGAUGAAAUUUCAGUAAACUUCUGCACUGCACUACCACAGCUCAUGUAAUCUAAUAUUAGUCCAUUACCAAGGGACAUUGAGUGUAAAUUUCAUAUUGAAGAGGAUGUAGGCCACUAUAGGUAUUUAGGGUCUUGCGUUAAGUACAAGUAAUGAAUAUUAGUGCAUCGACAUUAUUGUUUAUGGAUUAGCCAAGAACAAACUCAAGUAAAUGAAAAUAACAGGCACGGGUAUAUGAUACCCUAGGAAGAAAAAGUUGCACAUGAUUAGUUGAAAUCAUUUUGUAGAAAGCACAGGUUCGUUGAUAGAGUGUUAAAUAAUAGUAAUAGAAAAAACUAAGGACUAUGCUAGAGUUAUAGCAACCUUCUCCUAUCAAUUACUUUAAUGUGAUUGCAGCCGUCAGACAACAUAAAGAAACUCAUAAGCACAUACCGCAACUGCGGGAGCUCUGCCAAUUCCAGCUGUGCAGUGUAUGUAAGUCACACCUCCAUUUCUAUUGAUGGCAUUGUUCAGUAUGCUUAUUACGGCUGGAAGCCGCAACCUCAAGUCAAAUGCAUCAAAAUCCCUGGUUCAUCAAGCAUACACUUACUUAGUGAAUUAGCUUCAUGGAAUUAACUUUUCGAAAUGCCUCAUGCAUCACACAUUGUAGAAAUUAUAUAUAAUUUUAUAGAGCCACAAAAGCAAGAUGCUUGUUCAAUUUUCGGAACUUGUAUGCACAACGAUUCACUUGCAAGCGGCAAUCACUGAGAUAGAGAUACAUUCACUGCUGACAUUUUUCUCUUAAACUAACCUUAUUUCGGCACGCAAGUGUUCAAUAUCACCACAUUUGUUGGCAUAUUCACGAAUAGCAUUGAUAUCAACCCCAAAGUAUCUAGAAAAUACUAAUUAAGGACUUAUAAAGAAUAUCGUAGAUUGAGGGUGAAAUGAAUUUGUUGAUCCGACAUGAAACAAUAAUCAUGACAUAUUUCAUGGAUACUCAAGAUCUGGAUUUUGUUGCAAGCAAAAUAUAGUUUUUACUCCAAUGCUCCGAAGCUUGUCCACAUCCUCAGGAGUCUGUCAUUUUGUUGGAGUCAGAAAAAGAAGUGAAAAGGAUACUAUGUUUAAAGAAAACGAAUUACACAUUACCUGUAGACAUGACCCAACAAUCAAAUCCGGACGGAUGAAGUUGUAGUUCAUUCCUAAGUCAUGCCUAUAAGUCAAGACUGCAUUAAGAAAGUCAGCGACGAUAUCAGUGCCACACAUAUUAGUUAGUCAAUAGGACUGUGCAAACAUUUCUUGAUUAGUUACGGACUAAAAGUGCAUGUCAUAAUCCAAGAGUUGAGCUAAUAUAACUGAAUCAUGUCUACAUAGAGCAAACUUGGAUUUGCAGUUUGCACAAGGAAAGGAUGUUCUUCAACAAAGGGGAAGGCAAGAAGGAGAAACAAAGAAGAGUAAAUAGUAGAAAACGAUAACGCAUAACUUAACCUAUUAGCUAACAUGCAUGUAAUGUAGUUAUGUAAUAAGUUUUCUUUGAUAAGUCAAGGAGACUAAUAAGUUAAACAGCUUUCCUGUUCGGGUCGGAAAAAGUAUGCAUCAGAAAACUCCUCAAAGUAAAAGAACAUGAAGUUCAUAGAACUAAAAAAAAAACGCGUAGGAAGAUAGACUUACCAGCUCCCAUAGCUGCAGUCAUGUCAUGACUGUAUGUAUCGGAUUUUUCCUCAUCCUUCUCUGUACUAGAUUCAGGACCAGAUACAACCUAGAAAGAGAGCAAGUAAGCCAAUGCCAAUUCAGAAAUGGAUUAACAUUUUUUGAAAACAACACGAGAAGUACUAGGCUUACUACAAGUCAAUAAAGCUAAUGAUCCAAAAGAUUUCGAGAAAAUUGUUAUCACAGAAAAAAACUAUUUGACUCCCCUAUAGUAACACCUUCACGUAGAUUGGGACUGAGGGAGUAUAACAUACUCAAUUUCAAUAAGGUGCAGAAAGCAGGUUCCAAUUUUUUCACCAUUUCUGGCCAUAUUAGGACUUGAAAAAUUAGUUUUAAGAUGUGAAAGCAAUGAAAUGCCAGAUUGAGUCCAAAUCUAUACAUUUAUCUCAUAGAAACUUUUAGAUCAGACAGCAGAAAUCUUGGAGACUGUCGCUUCAAAAAGAUGUAUUAAUGGAUGAAAACAAAAAGCAGCACUUCGGCUUCUCAUGAAUAGGUAAAACAAUUCAGCAGUUUCUACAAUUCUUCAAACAAUCUAAUCAUCAAUCGUUGUUUCAAAUAUUACCUGUGCCACAAUACUUAGACGCUGAUCAGCAAAUUUUGUCAUCCCCUGUGAACAAAAAAGAAAUGAGCAUGAUACAACAACAACUUUGAAAAGUAUUAAGUAAUAUUUUAAACCACUUCGCAGUGUUGAGUAAAAUACUCCACAAGAAAUAGCCCUCCUUUAGCACCGAAGGGGGUGGACUAGUGGUCAAUGAAGUGGUUUGAGAACUAUGAGGUUUUCGGGCAAAAACACUAGCUAGGUGAUUUCCUCCAUCUGUCCAAGACUUGGUGGACAGAGUUAUAUGGUACCUCGCAAGCUGACUGGAACACCAUGUUUGUAAAAAACAAAAAAAGAUAGCCUCUUUUAUUUACACAACUUACAAUAGCACCCUCACACUCUCCAUUUUUCUCGCACAGCCGUGACUUGUUUCUCUGCUUCUUUAGCUUCUCGUGUAGUUAAAUGAGAAGAAGAGCUACACUUUUAUAGAAACAAAACCAUUAGCUCCAAGUAGCAGAAAAGCCAUAGGAAAAAUUGCUAAAACUUUCUCCACAACCCCAAUAAACACGGUCCCCAAGUAGCUUUUUUUUCCUAUAACUGUAGUGUCCAGGGCUAGCUUACACACCACUCGACUAAUUCGACAAGGUAUAUAUAACCUGCUACCUCCCACCAACACAAAUAUCAAGUAACUCUGUCCAAUCUUAAAGAAAGUAAUUUGAUUUAGUAUAUCCAAUUUCUACCAAAUAUGGUAUCCAUACCAACUUACACACACCUCGACUAAUUCCACAACUACCUACCUGCUACCUCCCACCAGCACAAGUAUCAAGUCAUUUGAUUUGGUAUAGCCAAUUUCUACCAAACGUGGUAUCCAAACAACUUACACACCUUGACUAAUUCUACAGGUACAUGCUACCUCCCACCAGCACAAGUACCGAGUAAUUUGAUUUGGUAUAGCCAAUUUUUACCAAACAUGGUAUCCAAACAACUUACACACCUUGACUAAUUCUACAGGUACAUGCUACCUCCCACCAGCACAAGUACCGAGUAAUUUGAUUUGGUAUAGCCAAUUUUUACCAAACAUGGUAUCCAAACAACUUACACACACCUCGACUAAUUCUACAGGUACCUGCUACCUCCCACCAGCACAAGUACCGAGUAAUUUGAUAUGGUAUAGCCAAUUUCUACCAAAAUGGAGAUAUACCCCCUACAUAAUUUUUCUUCCAAUUACACUUAUACAAUACAAAAAUCAAAUUAAUAUUUUCAAUCAAAUCUAAUUAUCAAUAAAUGAUCAUUACCAGUGAAACAACAGUGGAAAAAGGCUUCCUUGAAUUGCCUGUGAAGCUUCUUAGUGGUAAACCAGAGGAUCUGAAAAUCAAAAAUAAAGUAAAUUAAUCCAACAAAAAACGAAACUUUUAAGGCCCGAACCACAAUGGUCUAUUAUACGCAAUCUUACCCUGCAUUUUUGUACGAGACUGUUUAAAUUCAAACAAAAAAGAAUAUAUAUAUAUAAAUAUAUAUACCUGGGAAGAUUCUGAAGGCAAUUCAUUGGAAAAAUUAAUAGAUUUGAAGCAGAGUUGAAGAAGAAUGUGAAUCUGAUAUGAACAAUUUUUUAUCCCUUUUUUUAAUUUAUCAGUUCACUGUAUUAUACUUUAUUAUAUAGUUGUGUGAUAUUUUUUUCAUUUCUUUGGCGUUUUGUAUAAAGAAGAUAGAUUAUUUAUUUAACUAACUUCCAAAUGAAAACUAAGAAGGCACUUUUUUCAAGAUUCUCACAAUACCCUUCAGAUUUUUUAAUGUUUUCAUGGGGUAAUUAUGACUACGACAAACUUGUGCCACGAGUACACUAAUAAAUUUGAUUUUUUUUUAAAAUGAAAAAUAUAUUCGAGUAAGAUAUUUUUAUUUCUAGUUUCCUAUUUAUUUAUUUUACAUUUCGUCUAUUAAUAUAGUAGUAAAAGAUGUAGUAUAAUUUUGAAAGGAUGAAAAAAUAUACUCUCUCCGUUUCAAAAGGAGUGGUCUAGUUUAACUUGUCACAAAAUUUAAGUAAAUAAAGAAGACUUUUGAAUCUUGUGUUGGAAAAUAUAUAUAGAUGGGGAAAUUAUAAUAUCAAAAUAAUAAUACAAGAAUUAGGAUAAAUGCUACUACAAUAAUAUUCUUAAGUAAUAUAUAUGUAUAUAUAUAUUUAUAUAAUACUUGAGUCGUGCUAGACACUGUCCUAAGAAACUAUUUCAGCGGUGUGAAAUAUUUCCCCAGGAUUAAACAAGUCUUCCCUAAUAAAUUAGAGGACACAUGAAUCAACAAAAUAUAAAUACUACAAAAUAAAGCAAGUCGAAAGGGGAUAUUUGAAAUUGGCUAAGUCUUACUCUUCACUUGGUUGUCUAUCCUCAAAACUCCAUCAACUACUAUAUAUAGAGGAGCAUAGCUUUGGAGGAAAACAUAUUACACAAUAUAUCUUGGAGCCAAAGGGAGCAUUACUUGGAGACAAAGGAGUUAAACUUGGGGACAAAGUAGAUUAAUACUUGGAGAUUAAGUUUAAUGACAUAAGCACAUUAGUCAUCAACUUAAUGACAUAAGUGCUUAUGUCACAAAUUAAUAGUGUCCAAAAUAUGUCUUAAAUUAUUUUAAAAUAUCCAACAUCUUGUGGUCUUAAAUUAAAAUUAUGUCAAAUGUACAAAAUUGUCCUUUAAUCUUGUGGCCUUAAACAUGUCACGUGGAAAGUUAAAACUAAAAUGUUACCAAAAAAAAAAAAGAGGUCAUUUUUUUUUAAAACAAACUAAAUAGGAAAGUGGGUCAUUCUUUUUUAAACGGAGGGACUAUGUAAUUUGUGUAUACCUAUUAUAAUUUAGUGUCACUAAUAAAAAAUUUGACUAUUAAAGGAUUUAUGAUGCAUAGUUGUCUCUAAUAAAAAAUAGGGAGAAAGGACAAAUAUACCUCAGAACUAUCGUAAAUUGUAUACAAAUAUCCUCCGUCAUACUUUUGGGACAUUGAUGCCCAUGUCAUCCAAAGACUAGAGCAUAUAUGUCAUUCACUCUAACGAAAGACUAAAUAGGGACACAUGGCGCAAUUUUAUUCGUCGAUCCAAUAUUUAAUAAAUGUCGGUCGGUGGAUAAGAUUAUGACAUGUGUAUGUCCGUUAGUAUAAAUGGUAUAUAUGCUCUAGUUUUUGGACGGCAGGGGCACCAAUGUCUCAAAAGUAUUGACGGAGGGUAUCUGCAUACCAUUUACGAUAGUUCAGGGGUAUAUUUAUCUUUUUUACCUAUAAAAUAUAAUAGUUUUUUCUGAGCGGUCAAAAAUAUAUAACUUCCCUUAUUAUUAAUAAACUUAUUAAUUUUCUAUACAUUAAGAGCAAUUUUGAUCGUUUUCUCCUCUAUUUGUCUUAAUUUAGGUGAUAUUAUUAAACCUUAUUUAUUGAGAUAACCAAAAAAAUAAUAUCCAAAUUAUGAACAAGUGGAACUGUUAUUAUAUAAUUGUAACGCCUGAACCAGCUUAUUCAAGACAUAUAUCGAUAUAUAGUUAAAUAAAAAAAGUUUGAUAAUAGGUGCUUUGGAUUAUGGUUUAAUAGUUCACUGAAUUUAUAAGUACUAUCGAGGGUUAUAGUGAAAUGAAUAUACAUUUUUUUGCUCUUAAUCAAAUAUUUUGAAUUCGAUCACUGAAUAUGGAGAUAAUGUCUUACCCCUUUAAUUGAUUUUACGAGGCACAUCUAAAUUAAUAUGAUCUCCCAUCAAAUUACUGAAUAAAAAACAAAAAAUAUUAUUUCACUAGAUUAAUAAUCAAAAUCUUGAAAUAUUCUGAACAUACAUGACAAUAUUUAAGUAUAUACCACAAUACUUUGAUGAAGUUGAAGUAUAUGCAUCUAAUUUUGUAACAUAAAAUUUUAAAACCACCAUUAAAUGCUAAUUAAUAUAUCUUGAUCCAACAAUGAGAUAAAAAAACUACCUUUCAUGUAAAAAUAUAUAUAGUGAAAAUAGAGGAGUAGUGCUUUCUGUUAAUCAUUUGCUAAGAAUUAUCAUCUCCUUUUUGAAUUAAACAUUCGUAUUAUGAAACUCACCAAUCUGAUUCAUCAGAAUUAGUAAAUUUUAAAUACCGAAUAAUUAACAAUCAAUAGAUGAACAUGCCCAAAUUCUUUGCAAAUCCUUUUGGAAAUCUUGAUCAUCCAAAAGGCCUUGAUGAACAUGUUGACUUUGCUCAAUAAGUCCUACAACUCUUGAAUUAAUCACACAUAAAUUUUCUGAAAUAAUACAUUUUUCUUCUAAUAAAUCCUUCUUCAAAUUUUAAAAUUGAUUUUUGAUAUUCCCAACUUCUUCACACCAAUUUUCAACUUCUCUUUUUCUUUUUCUUUUCCUUUUUUCUGCUUCUUUCACUUGUACCUCAAUUUCUAAUGAUAUGCCAUUUAAUACCUUCAUAUUGUUUUCAAGGCUUUGCAGAUUGUACUCAAAGCUUUCUUGGUUGUUCCUUAUGAAAGAAUCUACCAUAUCAACCUCCAUAUCCAUUUUGUGCCAAAAUUAUUCUACAUAUAAAAUCAAAAAGAGGAAUUUAGAUAAUCAUAUGUUUAAAGUGAAAAAUAGAAAAAAAUGUAAUAAAAAAUGAAAAAAAAUUCACUAGUACUAUAUAUACCUUCGAUAUCCAAAUAACAAUAACAACAAUUAAUUCAGCAUAAUCUUACAAGUAAGAUAUGAAAAGGAUAGCGUGUCUACACAUGUCUUAUCUCUACCUUUGAGAUUGACUGUUUAUAACAGACUCUCGAUAGAACGAACAACGAAAAAAGGAUAAACCUUUGAUAUCCAAUUGUUAAUAGUCAAAUAUUGAACCAUUAACACUUGAUAGGAGGAGAAGAGGCUAUGCCUUUUUUUUUUUUUUUUUAUAUAUAUAUAGACAUUAGACAAGAUGGAUUUGAAAAUUAAAAUAUAGAAAUUAUAAUAUUAGAAGAAAAUAAAAAGUCAAUUUUUUUUUUGUAAAGUACAUAUCACGUAGUAACAAGUUGGCUGAAAUAUAAAAAUUAUGUGAAGAGAUUAGGGAAGAUAAUGAAAGGGGUAGGAAUUUGGAAGCAACUUAGAAAAUUCCUUGCAAGUGUAAUAAUUUAAUUUAAUGGUUAAUAGAUACACCCUAGAUUAAAAGGCAUAAAGAUAUCAUAAACUUGAUCAUCCAAUUAUUUUCUAUAUAAAAACCUAAAGAAACUUUCUUAAGUCUUUCUUUUCAUCGAUUCUCUUUUGGUAUCUUGUACCCACAUUGAAGGAACAAUAAUAACAAUCAGGGUCGACUCAACGAUAUUAGGGGUCUAAAUCAAAAUUUAAGAAAGGAGACCUAAUAUUAUUUUUUUCAUCAUAUAUACUUUUAUUUAAAAUCUAUUUUUCUAGUUAUUUUAGAUGUGAAGUCAUUAAUUAACUACUGUUUUAUAAUCAAUUUGUUUUAAUAAUUCCUUUUCAAAUGAUGAUAAAAUAGUUAAUUCAUUCAGUCUCUCUUGAGACAUUGUUGGUCUUAAAGAAGAUUUAAUCAAUUCUAAUUUCAAAAAAACUUCUUUCAGCUGAAACAAAUAAACUGUUAACAUUAUUCUAUAAUCAAUAUGUGUAUUUGGCAAAGAAUCGGGUCUUUUUAUUUGAUUGAGUAUAUCUUCUACUUGUAUUAUUUCUCAUUAACACUUUUAAUUAAAAAAAUAAUCUAAAUCAUUAAUAUUAAAAUAACUAUUAUGUGUUAAAGAAAAUUCAAGGUUAAGACAAUAUUUUUUUAAAGGGAAAAUUGUAUAAAAUAGCAAACUAUUAAUUAAAAUUAAAUAUUAUAACACAAUUUCAUUUAAUUCUAAUCCAUAGCAAACACUUUGUCAUUCGCCUCUCUCCCCAAAUAUCUCGCUCGCCUCUCUCACUUUAUAAACACAAAUGUAUAAAUUAUGUUUCUGUUUGUAUAAAGUGUGAGAAAACUGUAUAUACAAAAACAAAUACAUAUCUUUUCGUUCGCCUCUCUCCCCAGAUAUCUCGCUCGCCACUCUCUCUCUCGCCUCUCUCACUUUAUACAAACACAAAUGUAUAAAUUGUGUUUGUGUUUGAAUAAAGGGAGAGAAAAUUGUAUAUACAAAUACAUACAUUUUCGUCCUAUACACUUAUAAUUAUACAUUACAAAUCUUCCCCUGCCUAGUUCUAUUUUGCCUUUCUUUAAUUUCUUUCUCGCUUUAUACAAAAAAAAUAUCUUAUUUGUAUACAGAUUCCAAAUAUAUACUUAUAUAAUUGAUUCUUUGUAUAAGUACACCGAAAUAUACAUAUUGAUAGAGUUUGCUAUGGAGCGCAAUUAUGCAAACUAUAGUUAUAGCAUACAAAUAUGAUUUUUUUUUGCUAAACCUAAAAUUUACUCUUUAAAAAAUUAUCAUCAUGUAGUAAUCUCAAUAUUUUACCACUAAAUAAGAAAUAAAAAAUAUUUUCAUAUGCUUCAAUUGGUUCAAAUCAGAAUGCGUAUGCAAAUCAACAUUCUAGGUGUUAACCCCUUUUUUUUUUUUUUUUUUUAUGAAAAAGGUAGCAACAACCACCAUAAAAUACCUAAGUGUAAUCCACAAAGAAGGGUAUGGGGAGAGUAAAGUGUGUGUAGACCUUACCACUUGUCAAGAAAAAACCGUCCAAAGUAGUAUAGAGAAAGAAACAGCAAAACUGAAAAUAGUCAUGGCAAAGUAGUAUAGACAACUUGAAAAAUCAUCCUAAACAAUAGUCAUAUAAUGAUAAUCAAAGUGUAAAAACAAUAGUCAUACGAAGAUAUAAUGAAAAUCAAAGUUUAAAAAGUUAAGAUCAGAUGGAGUUGUGAUGGUAAUAAUGUCUAGUAUCUGCAACAAUACCACCAUUAAUGGUCUCAACCACAACUUGAGGAGGAUAUGGUUUAGUCCAAGAGCUGGUCAUGCUAUAGGUAUUGAAUUUUCUGAAACUUGUAAGUAUUAUUCUAUCUUUGAUCCAAUUACUAUUUAACAUGCUGAAGCUCAUCAACUUUAGCUAUUUAUAGGUAUGCUUGAGUGUUUGCUCUUCAUUUGUUCAGCUUCUUGAUUUAUAAGUAUAUGGUUGGUGUGAAUGGAAGUUUGUUAGCAAGGCCCGCUGGGAUGACAAAAUGAUAUGCAGUUGUAGUGCGUGCAUUCAUCUAGAAUAGAAUUCUGAGAAAGUACCUGCAUGCUGCUUAAUGAUAUAGAAGUGCCUCCUUGUAUGCCAAACUACUUGAGAGUGACUCACUAUUUAUCAGAAAGGAACUACUCAUCUAUGUAGAUGAUAUCGUCUGGAAAUAGUUGAAGGAAGCAUUUAAAAUGAAAGAAGAUAUCGGUGAUCAAAGAUUACAUCUAUGUAGAUACUAAUGCCAACCUAACAAUAUGAUGAUUACAUCACAACUAAUAGUGACUGACUGACAAAAUCAAAGAUUGAUUGGGAAAUUGCAAACAAAAUUCCCAUAUCAUAUGCUGAACAAUUAUUCUUCUAUAGUAGGAUAAGUGGCUUCUAAAUCGACCAGAAUAACUCAUCCAAACGCACUCCAUUAUCCAAAAUAUAACCAUCUGUUUCCAAUGGUUCUCCAGCGCAUAGUCGUAUGGAGUUUUAUCCUUUUGGGUGCGCACAGGAUAAAACUCCCGCUCCUAUGCAAUAGCUCGCAAACCACAUAGGAGAAGUAACCCGCACUAGACAAGUCCGGUGCAACGAGCUCGACUCAGAAGGCAAACUCUUUACUUUUGCUGGCAAGGGGUUUCAAACUACUCGUACGAGCAUAUUUAACUUCCAAUUAAUUAAAAUAUGCUCUUUUAGUCCUUUAAAUUCCACGAAUCAUUGGUAAAUUAUAUGAGCAUGUUUAACUUUCAAUAAAUUAAAGAUAUUCUUUUAGUCAUUUACCUAUGAUAUACAUUCAAACUUCAUUAUAACAAUAUUCUUGUCUUAAAACAGUUCCUUUUUCCUCAAGCCAAUAUCAAGAUUGAUAACUGAGUGCAAAUAAGCAUUCUAAACCGUUUCUGUUCAAGAAUUCACACACUGGUGUCUACUUCAGGCUCAGCCUCUAUCUUUUCUCCAUCAGGAGCUUCUUUUUCGUCUGUAGGCGCAGUUCCUUCUUCAGACUGCAUUUGAGUUGGAGAAGGCGGCAACAGCUGCACCACAUUUUCCACAAGCUCUUCCAUUGUUUCUGCAACUUCCUCAAGAUGGGCAUCAUAUUUCCUUAAUAUCUGAUAUACGUCAAGAAGAAACAAAUAUAUGUCACAACCUCAAGCAAAAUAAACAUAACAUGUUAAUGAUAGUUCCGCCUCUGCAGUUUAACAUACCCAAGGAUCCCAACAAUCAUUGUUAAUGACUAAAACAUGACUGAUGCACCAUUGUUAUUUGCUCAAAUUAGAUGAGGUAAAUAAACCAUAUCUUCUAUUUCCUACUUCCUAUCCAUUGAGGAAAGGUCAUUUCUCGAUAUUGUCCAUUCCUUACAAGUAUUUGUGCAACAAUAAAACCACAGUUCAUAGACAUCUAACAAGUUGUGAUGCUGCAAGUUUAAAUAGUCAAUAUACCAAGAACAUCAUCUUUUCGAAAUUACCGGAUAAAGUUCAACGAGUGAAGAUGGCCUGAUAUUGAUGAUGUUAACCGUCUCAACAUGCUUAAGUUUGAUACAUUUACAUUUUUCCGGUUUGAUACAUUUACAUUUUUCCAGUUUGAUACUUUUACAUUUUCCCAUGAGUUCACCAAUCACUUGUCUUGUCUGAUUGCAAGCAGCAGUUUGCUCUAAAUAAUCAUACACCUAGAAGAUCAGAAACAUUAGAUAUUGCCGGGCACAACGAAAUACUCUCAAACAACAACUUCAAUAAUGUAACUUCCAACCUUGAACUCUGAUGGUGCAAUGGGGACUAUGACCCGCGUAGGAUCUCUUCCUGCACCUCUGGAGCGUAGAAAAUCAAGCACCUCAAAAUUUGUGAGAGCACCUGCAUCUGCUUUGAGGCUGCAAAAAAUAAAUAACAAAGACCAUGUACUUAGUAGCUCAAUGAAGCAAUGGGCUUCAAUCAGGAACAAAGGCAUAAAGAGCUCAUACAUCUUCAUCACCAGAAGCCAGGACACCGUGUUCAAACUAUUAUUCUUCAAUCACUUACAAGGAGUUGCUUGCAGAGGGAUGUAUCUGUAAUUUGGAAGGGAAAAAAACAAGCAUGAGCCUUGUUUUUCCUUUUAUCUUUUCCUGCAAGAAAGUGUUUUAUAAGGCUUUCUCUUGGUACAUAAUCGUUAGUCAGCAUUUAAACCAAGUCUAAUCAGUUGUAGGCUAAGAAAGCUUCAGAACUUAAUGGUCAGGGCUUCACAAGAUGAAUUGCCGAUUAAACCAGAGUAGUUGAAAAAAAAGAUCACAAAGUCUUCCAUGUUUCUCCUACUCUCCUUUUUAUUUUGCAAGGGGAGUGGGCAGGAGAACAUUUAUGAUAUGCUACUAUUACUUUUCAUGAUGGGGAGCAGUCUCUUUUCAAGCUAAUCAAGUUAGUACCACAACAUGUUUAGAAUGACCCUUAGUUUAUUUUAAUGUCCAGCGAAGAUACACAAUGUCACAUGUGUAGUUAUCAUUAGAGUAGUUUGUGAUCCUUUUUAGUGUUGUGUAACUUCUCGGUUUUGUCAUGAUACUUGUCUAUUGGUGCAUCCAAGUUCUCACAUUGAUUUUAUGCUAUUCAUGUUUUCUGUUUCUCAUGGAUUGGCUAUUAAUCAUAUUACAGUUUAGUAACCAAACUGGUAUCAUUUAUCUAUCAUGAAGUUAUUUCACUGUAAAAUGAUAAAUGUUACUGUACAAUUCCAAUAUAUACAUGGAAAAAGCAUCAAACUUUUAACGAGAUAACAUAGAGAUCAUGUGUAAUAUCUUAGAAUUCCUAUAUAAAGGAUCACAUAACCCACAGAACAACAACAACAUAUCCAGUGUAAUCCCACAAGUGGGGUCCAGAGAGGAUAGAUAUAUGCAAACCUUACCCCUACCUUGUGGAGGUAGAGAAGUUGUUUUUGAAGUACCGACAACUCAAGUGCGGCAAAUCAAAGUAGUUAUGAAAAGGGAAAAACGAUAGUGAAGAAAACAUGAUAACUAAUAAGAAAAGCAGUACAAAGCAUUCAGAACAAAGAACAGUAAAAUAGUGCAAUAACCGAAACACAAUAAACAACACAUAACUCAUCCCACAUGUGUAAUUAUCAUUUUUUUUUUUUCAUGUAUAGAGAAGAUACUCAAAAAACUUGCUCCCUUCGAUACAAAGGGGCAAAGAAACAUCGGAAGAUGUUCAAGUCUAGUUUCGGGUGAAUUAAGCAGUCAAAAAUUGAAUGAAAUUCCCUUAUAUAGCUCAAACACACCCACCUUCUAUCUCAAAGUACAACUUGCACUCAAGCGCGUAACCUAGUGGUCAAUGUGAGUUUCGAACCACAAGCUCUCAAUUACAAAUUCCAUUAGAGACAUUACUUCCUAUGUUUCCUAACCUUGGUGGACAAAAUAUUUGGUAUCGUGUGGAAUUAGUCGAGGUGCAUACAAGUUAGCCAAAACACCACAGUUAUUAAAAAAAGUACAAGUUAAAAUCCAUGAAAAUAAGCAGCAGCAGCAAAGGGAAACCAAAUAAACCAGCAAAGAAGAAUUCAGAAAACUGAAAAAUAUCCAUAAAGACAUAAUUUUUAUGUAAACAAUUCAUUCAAAAAGAAAAAAUAUCGCUCGUCCUAGAGAUUCUAAAGCUUAAUUUAAUGGAGAAAGAAGUUAGUUACCUUUCUUUACCACUGAAAUUGCAGCGAUGGAGGAAACAAGUGAAACAAAUAAUGGAGGACCAAAAAAGAAGUUAUUAGGGCUUUGCUUUUUAGUGAGGGUAUUAUUGGAAUCAAAUAAACUAUGCCCUAAACAUCCGGCACAUUAUGAGAAAACAUACACUCCCUCUGUUUCAGUUUAUUUUUCUGUAAAACUUGUUUGUUUUUAUAUUUCUUAUCCGAUUCGAUAUUUGUAUUAAAGUCCGACCUUUAAAAGUUAAUUUACCAUAUUGCCCUUGUUUUGAAAAGUUUAUUUAAGGGAUAAAAGGGUAAAAACAUUUGUUAUUACAUUACAUAGAUGUGGUGCAAUUCAAAAGGGGUUUAAGGGUUUAAGGGGUCAGCGCAGAAAGAGAAGCUCAAAUUGGGGCAGCAGAAUGAAUAAAGGUUAGAUUUUUUUCUGUAACCCACAAAGCAUUCUUAGGAAAAAACAUGAAAUAAAGUUUUCCUUGUUGAUUCUUGAUUUUGGUGACCCAAUAUUUAAUUACUUGUAAAAAGAUAAACUUUAUUUUCUAUGUUUAGAGAAGAAGCUAGUUGUUGUUGUUUUGGACCAAAAGUUGCUGAAUUUUAUGUGAAAUUGCCCAUGAAUGGCUGCAUAAUUGUAAUGGAGGAGUCAGAGUGCCAGUGUCAUUAUGUUUGCAAGUGAGCUAUCAAGAAGUUGUGAUUUUGAGUUUGAGCUUUUAAAGUUGUGAUUUUGUUUGGACAUGUGUUUUACUUGGAGAAAAUUUGAACUUUUGGGAGUGAAAGUGAAAUUUGUAAGUGAAUCUACCAAUAUCCGGGUAUUGGCUUAAAAAUGUUAGAUUUUUUGGGUCCAUUAGGCUUAUGAAAGCAUUAUUAACACCUAACAUAUGAAGGCAUAUGAGAAACAUGAGAUUUUUUGGGCAUCAGGGUAUGUUGAAAAUAGUAAUUUAGGAUGUUAAAUAAAUGAGAGUUUUAGAAUGUUUUCUACUUGCCUCCCUUUCUUUUUGUUCUUUUUAUUCUUUUUCUAAUUCUACUAUUGAAUACAUGUGUGACUAGUGAAUUGAAUCUACCUAUAUUUGACAGAGUUGACAUUGGUUUUUGUCCAGAUAAAGGCAAACUUCGAACAGUAGCAGGUCCGCCUCGAACCCUUAAUGUGAACAAAUUUGCUGAGUCUCGAGCUUCUGAACUUGAAUCUCUCCACUCAAUUGUAAAAGAGCGUUUAAGUAAUGACUUUAGAUCUAAAAGAAGCAAGAGAAGGCGAACAACUGGGCAUGACAAUAGAGUGGCAAAAAGUAGAGUUAGAAAGAAGCAGAAACUAGGAGAGGAGAAUCUCAAUAAAUCAGACAAUUUGAAGAACGAUAAAAAGGCGCUUCCACGCCAUGUUCGUAGGAGAGUUGAGCUUAAAAAGAAUUCUCUGAACGGCUUCUCAACUUCAGGAGAUGGGACUAAGAGACUCAGAACCCACUUGUGGUAUGCUAAGCGUUUCACAAUGACAAAACUUUGGGGAUUCUACCUUCCCCUUGGUGUGCAAGGCAGGUAAUAAUAACUUUCUGCUCUUUGCCAAUAUAUCUGAAGUGCAGCUACAAAUUUUUUAACUUUAUCCUAGUGCAUUGAAAGGAAACAUUUGUUAUCUUGUGCUUAAACAAGAAAAAGACCGUUGUUUUACUAAUUAAAAAGAAACACAUUUGUUCAUUGUUCAAAUUGCGAUUUUUGCCUUGUUGUAUUCUCUCUGUUGUGGGAAAGAAGGUCUUUUGUCUGUUUAUAUUUCAUUGAUCAUGAAUAUAUGAUGCAGGGGGAGGGGCUCGAGAGCUCUUCUGAAGAAACUACAAGGAGGAGUACUUGUACAUGACGCAAGUUACUGCAGUGCUGUCCAGUUGGAGGGUCCACAGGCAGGCAUUUACUCACUCUUUCCUGCCAAAAUCUUACUUGAUAAUUGUUCUUCUCUUUAAAUUAUUUCCUUUUGGUGCCUGGAUUACUUAGAAAGUGAUGACAUAAUUAAAUAAAUAUUUGUCUUAUAAAGAAAAUUAAAUAAGCAAUUGUAUGUAUUUUUUAUCUUAUGUUGGCCCAUAACUUGCAAUUAUGGGCCCAGAAAAAAGGAUUAGCAAGGAUAAAGUUGACGUCUGCUAGCUAGAGAUUGAGCUUAUAUAACAUGGUCAUUCACAUUUUCUUUCAGGAUUUGUUGAUGUCAAUCCUGAAUACUGUGCUUGUGCCUUCUCCAUGCUCACAUUGUGAGGAUGCUCGUAAUGACGUACUCUCUGGUGCUAUCUAUGGUAGUGCUGAGGUGGGUGGUCCAUCUUGGUAUUUUGAUUAAAGUGAUAUGCCCUCCAAAAUUUGCUUGCUUGAUACUUGUGUUUCUUCUGGCAGCUCCAUCAUGUAGGAGCCACUUUUUCUAAGACAAUUGCUCCUGUAACCUAUAUGUGGCAACCGCAGCAGUGUAGGAAAACUGAUACAAAGGUCGAUAAUGCCGAUAUAUGUGGUGAACAACAGAAGAUUGAUGGAUGCGCUUCUUUAAGAAGGCUAUGGGUUUGGAUACAUGCUGCUGCUUUCAGUGAAGGAUAUAAUGCUUUGCAAAAUGCUUGUGAAAGGCAGGUUGAGUAAAGAAUCAUGUGGUGUCCAUUUCUAAUGCUAUAUAUAGUGGUCUCAUUGUUACUUUCUUCGGUCUCAGAUGGUAUAAUAAAAUGGUGAUGGCUGAAUACGCAUUCCUUUUUUAUUAUAAAUGCAUACAGUUUACUGAAGAUGUGAUUUACUUGCCUGUUCCUGUUGCUGUAGAUCAGAAAUAAUGCUUCUUGGUAUUCAGGUAGAUGCUGCUGGCUCCAGAGUUAGUUGCAUUUCCCUUGAGGAUCAUCUCGGGAAGUUGGAAUUGAUUGGAUCAAGGGCAUCUGAGCUUCUUCAAAAGCUUUUACAUCCUGCAACCUGGUGAUUUUUUUGAAGGGACAACCUUUCUAUUUUAACUGAUUUAUGAACAUGAUUACUGAACGUCGUUGUUUUCUGUGCAGUUCUUUGGUAAAUUCUUCCCCGGUGAAGUAUGCAUCCUUCAUUGAGAAUGACGACCAAAUCCUUUCUUCAGCAAUCUUUUCUCUCUUUGUCAAUGAUCCUCGAUUUUUGAAUAAAGAUACUACUGAUCCUUUGGAAGCAAAGGGUCAAAAUAUACUAUCUUACAAGAAAGAUGAGAAGGGAAUUCCAAAAAGAGACAUGAAGUUACUCUCUUGCUCGCCCUUAGAAUGUGAAGGAAGUCCUGGCUUAUCUGAGUGUAUAGAUCUCUGGGAUGCUAAAGAAGGCAUUGACCCUCCAAUAGAAGAAAACAUCCUGUGCAUGGAGAAACACCAUCAGCGUAUGGAGUUGUUUCGCGUUGGUGAUGUGAACUCACGCAGACAACAACCUUCUGUUGAGAGACGGUUUUCUAGAGUCUGCCCUAUACUGCUUCUGAAAAGUGAGAACGAGAAAACUUCUAUUAUAAGGUGAAUCUCCAUGCAUAGGCUUUGUAAAUGAACAUAAGUCUGAUUUAUAUUUACACAUGGUUGCUCAAUAUACUCACUUGACUAGAAUACAUAUUGCAUGUGCUGAAACUGAACUCUCAUGCCAUAAACACCUGUUCUCGAGUUUUGAUGUCUUCAACCUUCAACUUGUGGCUAGGUUGAUGUCAUUAUUUUCAUACAACGUAUUGUUCUGCUUUCACAUCUUUUUCUGGUUUAGUUUGUAGGCUUAACUUUUGAGGAGGAUACAUACUUAUACGCAUCCACCUUAACGACACCACCAUCUAAUUACAAAAGAAAAGAUGGUAACUGCACUUUCUAUAGUUGAUAGUGCAGGUAAUUGUCCUAUUGGUUUGUCCUAGUUUAUGGCUUUCUACAGGUGUAUCACGUAAGGUUAUUAGUCAAUAGAAACAUAGCGUUUUACUUCUUUGCUAAUUGCCUACCAGAAAGCUCAGUAGGAGCUUAGCUAGACAAGCAACUGUCAGCCCUCAAAUGUCAGGGGAGAGAUCCUUACCAAUACAUUCUCGAUCUGGUUUCAAAGACAAAGCAAAAGGCAUCUCUUAUAUUUCUACAAAUAGAAAUAAGAAAUAAGUGAAAACAAUUUUAUAGAGAAUAAGAAAUGAGUAACAUAAAAUGCAUAUGCGUAUGUGUCUUUGUGUGUGCCUCCUAUCCCAGUUGUUUGUCUAGGUUGAUUUUUCAUGGAGAUUAAGGAGAAUAAAAAUAAGUAGUUUUUAUAAUAGAGUUUGUAAUAAAUAUGUUAAAAUAAUAAUUAUAGGAAUUGAAAAGGGCAUAAGAUGUCACUUCAAAUAUGAAAUAUCAAAUUAACUUUUGGAAGAUGGUAUAUUUGCAAUUCUUGGGAAAUCAUGAUUUAUGAUUGUGCUAGAACUUUAUAUUUGUGUAACAUGUUACUCAUUUUUCUCUCAAACUUUUCAAUACCAAUAGCAUAAAAACUAAAUUUCACUAUCAAGUAUAUAUGUUCAUAUUUUUCCUUUAAUUUAUUUUGAUCGUACACUUUUGUUAAGGUUACAUAUUCUUUCUUGAAUAGCUGUUUUUUGGUCUUCUACAACAAUCUUGUCACAUCUCUUUUGCUGGUCUAACCACUUGGAAGAAUCAGCCUUCAGAGUACUCACCUUUGAGUCUUCCUCAAUUCAAUUACUUAAGAAAAUGUGGCAAUUAAACAUCAUGCUUUGAUAGGAAUAUCAUGUUCUUAUAUAGAGAAUACCUCAUUGUUGUUCUUUUAAAUCUCCCUUCAGAUGGUCUAUUAUUCUUCCGCUGUGUUGGAUCAAGGUCUUCUGGAUCUCUCUUGUGACCAAUGGUGCUCAAGCGAUUGGUUUGAGGGAGAAGCAUUGGAUUGCUUGUGAUGUUAGUAUGCUUGUUCUGCUUUCGUUCUGAAUUUGAGUUUGAUAUCAAUUUUAGAUCCUAAUAUAUGUUUUUCCUCUUUGCAGCUUGGGUUGCCAUGCUUUCCAAGGGAAUUCCCUGAUUGCAACGCACACUCUUGUUUUAUAGCCUUGGAGGAAGCUGCUUAUGAUGAAAAGUCUGAGCUCCGUUCUCCUCACACAAGGACUUGGAAAGUUCCAGUUUCAUCUCCAUGGAACAGUGUCCGCCUUGCUCUAGAAGGACUCAGUGGGGCAGGUCAUGAUCGGAUGCAACAUGAACAGCUUUCUCCAAACGAUAUGAUAAAGAACUUAGAAAUGAGUACUCCAUACUCGAGAAGAUGCAUAACUGACUCAGAGAGCAGUUGCAGUGCUCCAUUCGAGGGAUUCGUGGCAAGGACGUUUUAUGUUCUGACUCAGUUUUUGGAUGAGAUCGGUGGUAGUCAUCUACUUUUAUUUCCCAAAGCGCUUCACAGGACAAAGUACAUAUCCAAAUUAAUGAAGGACGAAAAAAUAUUCAAUGAGGAUACAGUUAAGGGCAUUUACCAGAUAAAUCAGGACCAAAAGCUGUGUUUGGUCAGAGUUAUUCUGCAUGCCCACAGAGAAGGUUCUUUCGAAGAAGGAGCAGUUGUUUGUGCACCUCAAAUUGAUGAUGUAAUGUUGUUCACAACCAGGUGACUAUUAUUAUCCAUUUUUGUAUUCAGUUAUUUGCUUGCCUUAUCCCAUUUAAUUAUAUUUAUUUGUUCAUUUUAAGAAUUUUAUCUGCAACACAAUUGCCUCUUCAUUACAAUAUGCAUGACUAAUCCUACUGCUAGAUGAUGAUGCUUUGAUAACAAAUAUCUUUGGCAGAUCACUUAGGACAUGUAAUAUGCCAAAAAUACGACUUCCAUAAAAACAUCUGGAUAGAGCCUAUGAGGUGGCAGAAUUGGGAGAACAUCAUUUAGAAACACAUUCAUGUAUGAGGCUCAAGUAUUUGGCCGAUCAGUAGAUGCAUUAGCUCUGUUCUAUGAUAAUUCACCAAUUCUAAGCAAGAGGACACUUGGCAUUGGAAGUUCUGAUGGGGCAGAAUCACGGUUCUUUUGUAAGCUUAAUUUGUAGGUUUAUGAGGAUUGAGUCAUUUUUAUUUUUCUCGAAUAAGAUGUUUACGAGGAAUCAUUUACCUGGGGAUGGACAAAGUUAUAUCACCUUCACUAGCUAGUAGUCACUAGUUAGUAUUUAUAGACAUAUAGUAGUUACGCAUGCUUAGUAGAUUGUAUACGAUCUGUUCUUGUUAUUUUGGCCUGUGCUUUGCCAUUCAACUAAAGUCGGGAAAUCCAAUAGCCAUUCUUGAAAACUCUGUUCAAUUAUUAGUAGGUUUGCAUUUUGAUGUUUAACAGGACUAAUCUUACUGAUGCUUGCCGAAACUAAUUUUAAAUAGAAGUAAAGGGAGAGCUUAUAGGUGCUUCUUAUUAUCAAAUGAACCUGUUUUUGAAUUAUGCAGAUCAGAGAUUUCCAAAGGAGAACUUCAAGUACCCGAGUCCUUUGUGAGAUCAUGCUUCUCUCAGCAAGCAACUGGUAAAUGGGAAUUUCAAGUACCUGAAGAUCCUGCUGCCAAAGAAUCUUAUCGAUUACCAAUUGGCUUUAUUACAACAGGAUUUGUUCGAGGAAGGUUAGUAAACUAAACGUUAAUUCUGGAUGUAUUUUCAUCGUAGCAAUUAUGACUUGUACUGAGUUCUUUAUCGUGCAGUAAGAAGCCAGUAGCGGUGGCUCUUUGCGAGGCUGUCUGUCUUGCUCAUCUGAGAGAGGAACAGUGGAAAGCUGUAGGUGUUAGGAAAAGAAGGAAGGAGAUAUAUGUCCUGGUUAGAAACUUAAGGUCCACAGCAUAUAGACUUGCACUUGCUUCUAUCGUUCUCGAACAAUGGAAAGAUGAUGUCGAAUACAUGUGAUUAGACAAGAGGUUCGCGAUGGUUAUUUACAGUAUUUAUGCAGAAAACUCUUCCCAAAAAAAGACAGAGAAAUUCCAAUCUCAUGUUUGGUAUGUAUUUUUUUUUCAUUAGUUCAUCCAAGAGCAAUUAGUCUUAGUUGAAAUUCUGAUGGGAGACUUUGCUACAUUGUAUUUGGUUUGUAUCAUGGAGAUUGUUUUUCUGUAGAUUUUGUUACUCUAUAAAGGAAAGUUGUUAAUCAGACAACUUAUACUAUGUUUUUUUCAUUCUUCUCUUACAUUUUUUUGCUGAAAAUAUACAGCUUAACGCGUGAUAGCAGGUUAGUUACCAUUUUUACGAGGUCACCAAUUAUGUUAUACUUAUCAUUAACAUGUUAUUUAACUUGACCUCAGUUGACAUCUAUGCUUUUCAAUUUUGGGUGUACACAAGUAGACACUUAAAUUUGUAUAAAGUUGAACAAGUAGACACACGUGUCCUACGUGACAUAAUAUACGUAUGACACCCUAAAAAAUUAGUUUUUUUUUUGGUUUAACAUUUACAGAAAACAAAAACAUGAAAGGUCUAAAUAGAUUCAGUUAAUCUAUGACUAAAUACUAUAAUCAAGGACAAGCAUAAUUAUCUCCUCUCCUCAAAUUCACCUAAAACUAAUUCAAACCUCAAAAAAAAUAUCUAACCUAUAAAUUAUGAAACAAUUCAAUUACAUUAACACAUUAUACAUUCAAACAACAACAAUACAUAUAUAUAUAUAUAUAUAUAUAUAUAAUCACUUAUUUUUUGUCGUAGCAAAAAUAGUAUGGCAUCGAACAACGUCAUCGUUGUUAUGCUUUUCAUUGCCAUGGUGACGAUGUUUGUUGCUUCAAAUGUUGUUGUUGUUGUUGCACAAGAUGAACAAGACCCGUUAUAUAAGGAGUGUUACGAGAAUGGCAUAAAACUCGAGAAUGGAAAGAAGCUUGAUGGCAUGAAAGUCGAUGAAAAUGUGCAAAGAGCAUGUGAAAGCAUCGUCUUUGACCUAGAACAUUAAGGAAGUGAUACGACUAUAGGGGGUUGUUCAGAUGAUAUUUCUUAACCUUAAAGUUCGAGUCACCAAAUGAAAGGAAGUGAUAUAUAUAAUUUUCACUUGAUGUAUCUGUUAUUGCCUUUUCUAUAUGUUGUUUGACAACCAAAGAAAAUAAAAUAUUUAUGUCACAUCAAGAAUAAUGAAAAAUUGAAUUUUUAUGUUACAUUUAAUUCCUUUUUCAGGGUACACAUGAUUGGAUCAUGAAAACAAGCAAAGCUAGCAAUUUACAUGAAAAUCUAAAUCAAAUUAAUCGGUUUGGUUAUUUUGAAUUUUAGCCCUAUAAAUUGGGCUUCUUUUUUCAUUUUUUCUUCUUGGAAAAUAAAAAGUAAACAAAAUAUUUCUAUCAAACCCUUUUAAAAAAUUUAAUUUGUAAUUUCAUACCAGCCACAAUCAUAUGAAAAUUUAGUAAGUUUAUAUAAGUACAAUUACAAACCAUCAAUAUUAUAAUAAAUGUUACAAAAAUAAAAUAGAGUUAAACUUGAAAGUAGAAAUCUAUCUCAUUCCUCGAACUUUUCAAGAAUGAUGCUCCAUUCCAUAUCAGAUCGUCAGAAAAGUACACUACUUUUGGAGGAUAAGACAUACACACGUCUAACAUUUUUGAAAACUCCGAGCACAAUCCUUAGAAAUAGUUAAGAAAAGGUUGAAGUUCAAUUUUUGUAGUUGAAUGAUCCCAUUCCAAAGAUUCCCACCAAUCUUUUUCACUUGAAUUUAUAGCAAUCUCUUUUAGUGUAGAAGGAAUUUUGAGUUCCUCUUCAUGUGAAAAAAACAAAGGCAAAUUCCUUAACUUAACACAUUCCUUAAUUGACACUUUCUUGAUUGAAUUGCACUUCAUUUUUCCAUUGCAUAUGCUUUUCAAUUGUGGCAAAGACCAUAAGGUUAUUCUUGUCAUUUUAGGAAAGACGACGAUUCCAUCAUUUUCUUGAUCUUCAAUUAUUUCUUCGAUUUGACUACAUGAUAGGACAUAUAUCCUCUCGAGAUGUCUCAGGUUUGAGCAUAGAUCAAUUGGAAGUAGCUUCUUGAUGUUGUGACAUCUUUCGAUACGUAUCAUUCUAAGGAGGGAAAAAGUACCAACAAGAGGAAUUGAAGGACUCAAACUUGUUUCACUUUCAUCAAAAAUACCAACAAAACUAGGCAAUUCAAAGAGAUCAAGAUGCUCGAGAGAGGGGAAUAAGACGGAUUCUUGUCCUUGUUUUACCUUCAUAAGGUACUCUAGUUUGUUGCACCAACGAACUUUGAAGUACUUCAAAUCUUUUGAAUCGUAUAGACAUGACAAGAAGUCGGAAAGACAAGUACUAAAGUUGUUGCAACUCUCAAUUUUCAAGUGUUGAAUGUCUUGUGGAAGCAAUAGUACUUCAUCUUCUUUUCCAAGUCCAUAACACUUGACUAAUUUAUCCGAAAUUCUUCCAUGAUUGAAUUCAAUUUGUGUCAUUUGUCCUAAACCAUCAUAGUCACCUACUAGAAUUCUGUAAAACACGAGGCAUCCUUCGUUUUCUUGAGCUCUGAUGAACCGGUUGAAGUCAUGAAUAGUAGAGAACCUACCUUGAAACUCUUCCAACUCGUUUAACACCUCUAGUUCCUCACCUUGAACGUCUAUAUGAUGCGAUAACACUAGGCGUUGCAGAGUUGAGAGUUGGGGCAAUAUACCUAUUGGUAUCCUCUCAAGCCAACGCAUUGCAUACAUACUCAGGCAUUUGAGGCUCAAUAGAGCCUCAAGGGAUUCAGGCAAAGUCUGAAUCCCAGUGCCACUCAAGUCCAACUCUUGCAAUAACUCGAGCUUUGCCAGAGUUGGAAUUGACCUUAGAUUCCAACAAAAUGCAAGUAAGAGCGCGGUGAGAUUCUCCAACUCGGAUACAGAAUCAGGCAACUUCUCAAUGCAAGUGUGACUUAAAUCAAGAACACGUAACGCCUUCAUGUGCUCGAAGAAAGAAUCUGGAAUCUUCCAUAAGUAAUAAUUUUGCUGCAACAUCAAUGUUGUUAGCCUUGGACACUUAGCUGAUGUUCCUUCUGGUAUUUCAGCUAUCUGGUUCCUCAUUAGAGAUACCUGUAAUAUAAUUCAAAACAAAAAUUUAGACGAAAAUUAUAAAAAAUAUCCAAGAUCUAUCUCAUCAAGUUCUAUCAAGUUAUGUUGCUCAGACUCUUCAAACAUGUCAAUAGGCACGUGUCUGAUCCUGACACGCGUGCAACAACACUUUGAAGAGUUCGAGCAACAUAGUAUAUGUAACAAUACCUUGUCCAAAUUUUCGAUCCAUUCAUCCUGUUUUGGUGCAUCAUUAAGCUGAACUCCAGCUUUAACCAUAAACAUAGGAUUUUCAUUAGUGAUCUUCAAUGCCAUAUCUCUAAUCAAACUAUGCAUUUUCACACUAUUUACGCCACUUUCCAACAAACAAACACCUUCCAAUCUGUUCAAUAUUUCAUAUCCCUCUUCAAAUUCUGCCUCGCGACUCUCUUGUUCAUCGAUUAGUCCCUCUAAAACAAAUCGAGUUAUCAAAUGAUCUUUUGAGAUUUUCUCAUCUUCUGGAUACAAACAACAGUACAAGAAACAUUGUUGUAACUUUUCAUCCUUCAAUGAAUUAAAACUAUAUAACAACAUCUUCAUAACAUCAUUGUUCUCCUCUUUAAAUGAUUCUUUGAACGCCUUUCUCCAUUCAUCAACAUUACUCAAUUCCAACUCUCUUAACUUUGUAGCCAAUGUAACAAUCCCAAAUGGAAGUCCUUUUGUACAAUUAUUCACCAUAACCUUCGCGAUUCCUUCAACUUCUCGCGGAAUAAUCAUCUCAUUUCCGAGUUUUUCUAUGAACAAACUCCAGGACUCCUCUGCUUCAAGUGUCUUCACUCCAAACGUCCUCUGACAUCCCAUUUUUCGACAUGUUUCGAGUAAACAACUUGUUACUAUCAACCUUCCACCUUCAAUUUUUAGAGGAUUACCUAACAUUUUCAAAGGUACAUUCUCUAACACAUCAUCUAGUACUAAAACAAAAUCAUUUUUCUCUUUGAACGAUUCGUGUAACGCGAUUGCCCUCUUUUCUUCAUCAUGUUCCUCUAUAAGAUCAAAUCCAAGUGAUUUAGCAAUGUCAUUUUGUAACACUUUGAUGUUGCAUUGUUGAGAAACAUUAAUCCAAAUAACUUGGGAUUUAGUUUUUUGUUCAACAAGGUGAUUGAUGAGUUUGGCUAAGGUUGUUUUUCCAACACCUUUAACUCCAUAUAUACCAAUACUUGUAAUUACUUUGUCUUUCUUUAAACAUCUCCAAAUUCUUUCACAUGUUCUUUUUGUUUCUUGACCAAAUAACUUUGUUGGAAAAAAUGACUCCCUUGCUUCCAUUUUUUUUUCUUCUCCUAGUAAAAAUCAAGAAACAAGAUCAAUCACAUUUGCAAAAAAUACACAAAUAAACUUUUUGAAAAAGACAGUUCGGUACACUAAGCUUUUGUUAUGUAUGGGGUCUAGAAAAGGGUUGGACCACACAAGGGUUCAUUGUACUUUGCAUUUUGACUAUUUCAACAGCUCGAACUCAUGAUUGUAUGAUCACAUGCCAAUAAUUUUAUCAGUUUCAUAAAUGAGGAAAGGACUUUUUUAUGAACUACAAAGAGUUCUAAGUUGAGUUUAAGAGAAUUAUGGGAAGAGUUUAAACAUAACAGUUAUUGGUGGAUUUCUUCCACAUCAACAAGUUAUUUCUAUAAAUAUUUCAAUUUUCUUACUCCAAAGUCCAAAUCACUUGUUCUAAUCAAUAUUUAAUUACUUAUAUCAAGCAUUAAAAAGGAAUCUCGAUGGAUAAAGUAUUUCGCGUUCAUACAAAAUUUAAGGAAGGAUUGCACUUUAAAAGGUGUCAAGUAGAUGGUCUACCCUUAAUACAAGCAUUAGUCCACGGCUCGAACCUAUUGCCACAUCAUCUUUAGACUAAAUCCUCCUUUUUAUAUUACUAAUAUAUGCAUAACUUACUUUGGUCUAGUUAAAUCAGGUCUCAGGAUUCAAGUCUUGAGAAUAGAUUAUUUUUAAUAGAAAAUAGUUUAUCCCCCAAAUGGAAUUUCCUAAUGUGAAUUUACAUAUUAGUUGAAUCCCAAAAUGGAUAUUGGACAUCAUGUGAGACACGAAAAAAAGGAAAUAUUCGGGCUAUAUAGCUUCAACAUCCCGUUAGUAAUUCAUCUAUCAAGCCAAAGUAAACGAGUGGAAUCUAAAAAGUCAGCUGGCUGAUCGUUAAAUAGAUACAAAUAGGUGCAACAUUAAUUACCACUCAAAUAGAGCGGCAUACCAAGGAAAAAAAGCAAGGAAUAAAUACAAAAAAAUGAAACUUUAUGAUAACAACAUAACAUACCAAGGAAAAAAAGCAAGAAAUAAAUAUAACAAAACGAAACUUUACGAAAACAACAUAACAUACCAAGGGAAAAAAGCAAGAAAUAAAUAUAAUAAAAUGAAACUUUACGACAGCAACACAACAAAGAUGAAAUUUAGACUAUCUUGUAGUAAAUAUUAGAAGUUGCAACGUAAGAUAAAUUAAAGAGAGAGCACCAUACCUUAAAAACUUUUAUUAUCUCUUUAAUUCAAAAUGUGAAUUCAGCUAUUUCUUGAGGUGCCAUCAUUUUUCUGAAAAUUAGCCAAACACAAAUCAUAAAGAAAAAAAAAUACUACAAAAUAAAUGUAAGGAAUAUUUGUUAAGCAAAGAGUUCAAGAUCAAUGAUUUUAUUUUUUUUACUUUUGAAAGAGAAUGAAAAUGAAUUAAUGAAAAUCAUGAAGCAAAUAACGUUAGUUAUAAACAAUGUUUGUGAUAAAAUGCUUACCACUAAAAUCAAGUGGAAAAUACCAAGUCAAAUAUGCUUAAUAAAAUUAUUAUUAUUACAUUGCUUAAUUAGUUAGGUACAUUAUAAAAUAACAUGUCAUGGGAGUAAAUGGGGAAUGUGUCUAAAAGUUAGAAAAUUGAUGGGAGGAGUGUCUUCAUGCAGGCGACAGUUAAUAGAUCGAAGGGGAAUCGAACUGAUAUAUCAAAAGCUGAACUCAUUCAAAGAAGUUCGUAUUGUCGGGUUUCAGGUUAGACGCAUUCAGUCUUGUGUUCAAGUAUUUGGCAGUCUAGUUUAUGAGAUUAUCUGUGAUAAUAUUAACGUUUUAAAACUAUAUCCAGGUCGCGACAUGGAUCUUCUUGAACUUUCUGCCUACGGCAAUGUCCGUCAUGGACAAGAUUCUGGGGGAUGUAAAAUUCAAUGAGUCAUUUUACGACAAUAUACUCAAGAAUGACAUUGUAUGCUUCCCCUUAAUUAUCAGUAUGACAAUAGUUAUUCCUCUAUUAAAUUUGUAGCUUACAAUUAUUGGAAGUUUCAUAUGCUUGUAUGCAUGAUUUUCUUGGGCAAUAGUAAUAGAGUUACAUCAUAAAUUCUUAUAUAUAUAGGAGUUAAAGCUGCAGAGGUUUGUACAUAUGUAAAUCAAAUGGAGUCUUAUUAACUAUGUUAUUAGGUUCAUAUGUACCACUGCUAAAGCACAACAAAUUUCUCGCUUUCCACAUUUGCCAUAAAAGAGACUCAAUUUAAAUAGCUCAAUCAAUUCUGGAUAUGGACUUGUAUAACAAAGCUGUCAUUUCAUCACAUUGCAAAAUUCAUAACAUUUUUUAAAUUAGGCCAAUUGAUAGGAGUCAACUUCCACACUAAUUGAGUUUUCGGACAACUAAAAAAUAUAUGGUCAAUUAUUUUAGUUAGGGGUGAACAAAAUUGAACCAAAAAUCGCAUCAAACCACAAAUUGAGAAAAAAAAUUCGACUAGUAGUUUGGUAUUGAAGAAAAAAAAACUGACUAUAUUGGGUUGAUUUGGUUUUAACUUUAAAAAGUUAAUUUGAGACCAAACUAACUUGACAUUAUAUAUAUAUAUAUAUAUAUAUAUAUAAUUUUUAAACUAAAAAUUUUAUGAACCUUUGAACAUGUAGACCACUACCCAUUCUUUGCACUUCCAUAUUGUGUUGUAUAAUUGGUAUCCUUAUUUUAUUUUAUUUUUAUAUAUAUAAAUUAAACUUUGAGAAUAUUCUUGUUGGUAGAUCUUUUAGGGUCUUCCCUAUGUACAUGUCAAUAUGAAUGCCUAAGCAAUUUUUAUCGUGCCAAGAUAAAGGUAUAAUAAUUAAUUCAUUUGGUAGAAUACUAAGAGCUCCUUUUGUAUUAGCUGUCACAUUUCACGUUGAUCUGAGAGACCAGUGUACUUGUUUAUUUUUUUGUUUAAGGUUUGAAAGGUUGAGUUUUAUCUAGUUUAAAUGUUCAGUUAGCAAAGUCGUAAGUAGAAGGGUCUAAUUUAUAAUCUGAACCAAAUAAAAAAGGUCCCUCAAGUCAUUCCGCCUAUUUAAAAACAAAAGCAGUUAAUCUUAUUGCAAGAAUAUUUAUUUUUAAGGAUAAAAUGGAAAAAAAUUAAUUACUUCUACCUUAAUUUUUUAAAUUGAUUGUAUUUUGAGACGAACAUUAUUAGUAAUCUUGACAACUAAUAUGAGACGGAAAGAGUACUAAAGUAUUUGAAAAUCAAAUGUCCAUUACAAUUGGUACACUUAUACUCUCUAUGUUCUAUAAUAUUUGUCAACAGUAUUAAAGAUGUUCGUUUCAAAUAUUGGUUAAUUUACGAAAUUAAGAUAUAAUUAAUUAGUACUACUUUUUUCAAUUUUCCUCUUAAUAUUAAUUAUUUUUGAAAAUAGAUAAUAUUGGUUACAUUAAAAAGUGUUGGAAAAUUAACAAUAAAAUCAAGAAAAUAUGAUACUACUAAUAUGAAAUGGAGGAAGUAUUUAAUCAACCUAGCAUAAUUCCCUUGCAGGAGUGUACAAAACUUAAAUUUUCGAAAUAAAUACUUCUAAUAACAACUUAUUUCCAAGACAAAUUCUUAUCAACCAUUAGUACAAGAAAAAUGAGAAGACAAAAAGACAUUCCUCAAAUCAACAACUACAACAUACCCGAUUUAAUCUCACAAAUGGAGUCUAGAGCAGGUGAAGUGUACGUAGACCUUACAUCCUACCUUAGUAGUAUAGAGAAGUUGUUUCCGAUAAACCUAACCCUCAGCUCAAGGAGGCAUGUUUCAUAGCACAACAAAAGAUCAACAUUACAAGAAACUUGCCACACUAAAACAACCUACAGUAUGCUGCAUCAAAUUUUUCUAGUGGUAUAAAAUAAAUCUUAAGAGAGUGAUAUCAACAUCCAAAAAAGGCAAUAUUAGCCUCAUAUUUUUAACAUUCAUCAGUUAGAAGGUAUACAUACUAAAAGCUUAGUAAAAUGCCUCCAAAAACUAGACUUAUUUCAUAAUCUUUCUUCAGUCCUGCCAUCCGACGAAAAAAACUACGACAGCAGCUUACAAAUCUACAGGUCCAAAGCUGCUCCAUUGUUCUUCAGAUGUUGCAUCAACAUGGAGAGUCUCAAUCUUUGGUCUUGUAGAUGGAUCAGGGAAGUUCCAGAAAGAAUCAGAAUUCUCGAAGAACACGUAAAAUAGAAUAGCUGAUGCCAAAAACAAUCCCAAGAGUAAUAGAUAAAUCUGCCACUCUGCAAUUGAAGAGAUAGGGAGAAAAAAGUCAAUCUUGGAGUAAAAUGCACGCGAUUGUCUCUACACACAGAAAAAAAAAGAGACGGACCUUUCCAAUCGGUUGGGACAUUUAAUUUAGUCACCAUUACUCCCCAUUGAGAGGAAGUGGUAAGAGCAACCCUGCCAAAAUGUGCACCAAUGUGGACUAGUAAGCAGACAGAAUAGGAGCUUUGAUUCUUAAAGAACAGUUGAUGAGAAAGAUUACGAUGACAUUAGUAGACACAAGGUUUCAACUUUGAAGAGCGCAAAUAUAGGCAACAACUAGUGAAGAGAAAUUAUUAUUAGGAAAUCAUGUCAUCAGGUAUCACAGAGACCUAGCACCUAAGACGUAGAACAAUAACAACUUGGUGGCGUAAUCUUUGGCUGCAAAAUGUACACUAUGAAUGAGUGUAUACUAAAUCAGCUAUUUGGUUAGUUAUUUAGUUGCUAAGGCAUAUAUAUAUACGGUUUACUAAAUAGUUUUAGAUGUCCUUUUGCCUAUUAUAUGUGAGUUGAAUUUUGUUUUACUUUCCUUUUUUUGCGUAGGUUUGUCUGCUCCACAUUUUUCAUAUGUGAAGAAUAUAGAUCCAGGUCUACCAUUGUUUUUGUUCAACUACAGCAAUCGGGGGCUUCAUGGUAUCUAUGAAGCUGCAAGCUCGGGAAAAAUGAAUAUCAAUUCACAUGGUUGGAUGUUAGACGGUUCUGGAAGAACUGAAUAUCCUACACAGGUUUAUGUCAUGUUUCCUUCAUAUGUGAUUUAUUUGGUUGUGUUAAUGCUUUCUUUUUUAUGUUUUCUUGUUUAUAAAUGAAGGUUCAGAAGCGUCUGUGUCUGCACUGCAAACCAUUGAUGAAAACUUUGUUUAAGCCUAUAAUUCAGGAUAACUAUUACAAUGAUCAGCAUCAUUUCAUGUUUGAGCUAGAUCGUGUUCAAGCGGCUAAUUUGAUAUCCAAGUUCUCAUCUUGUGUAUUGGCUCAAUACACAAGAACAGAACUUGGAGAUCAAAUUAGUAGUUUGAACAUGAUCUAGCUCAAACAUGGAAAUGAUGCUAAUCAUUGCAAUAAUUAUCCUGGAUUAUAAGCUUAAAUAGAGUUCCCACCAAUGGUUUGCAUUGCAGACGCAGACGUAGACGUAUCUGAACCUUCAUUUAUAAAUAGAAAGCAUAUAAAGGAAAACAUCAACACAACCAAAUAAACCAAAUAUGAAGAAAAUAUGACAUAAAACCUGUGCAAGAAAUUCAGUUCUUCCAGAACCAUCUAACGUCCAACCAUAAGGAUUGAUAUUCAUUUUUCCCGAACUUGCAGCUUCAUACAUAUCAUAAAGCUCCCGAUUGUUGUAGUUGAACAAAAACAACAAUAGACCUGGCUCUAUGUUCUUCACAUAUGAAAAAUGUGGAGCAACCAAACCUACACUAAAAAAAGGGAAGUAAAACAAAACUUAGCUCACAUAUAAGCAAAAAGACAUCUAAAACAUAUAGUAAAACCAUGUAUAUAUGUGUGUGUGUGUGUGUCUUAGCAACGAAAUAACUAACCAAAUAGCUGAUUUAGUAUACACUCAUUCAUGGUGUACAUUUUGCAGCCAAAGAUCACGCCGCCAAGUUGGUUUUUAGUCAAAGUUAAUUUUUGUCUUCUUCAACAAUCAGUUGAUGUGAUUUUUGCAUGCAAAAGUAGCUCAUCAACUAAAGAUAUUCAUGAAAGGUUCUUGGCAUCACUAAAGUCGUAUGUACUACGUACAAGACCAUCACAAAAGCCUCCCUUUUCACCCUUCAGUCACGAGUUACAUCUACUACAAUUUCCUCUUAUAUCUCUCCAUACAUAUCUUGUGGAGAAAAAAGACAAAUGCUAACACUGUUUAGAAUUCCGUGAAAAACAUGGCUUCUAAAAGAGAAGGCAUAGGCUUCAGAACAGAAUCAUAGAAAAUUAUAGCUAGAAUUGCACAUACCUUUCACUAGGACAAAACUCCAAAGAAGUAAUAUUAGUACCCAAGUGCAACCUCUUGUGCAAAGAGGAGAUCUCCAUCUUUGUCACAUCAAUAACACAGACAUCACCAUCUUUGCUUCCCCUGCAUUUAAAUGACAAGCAUAGAUUCAGAUCAAUGCAUUAGCAAACUAAACGCCGCAGCAGAUAGCAAUGCAAAUGGGGUGGUGCUGUUAAAGCCUAUGCGGAAUGGAGCAGGUUACAACUUAUGUGGAUGCAGGGGUUGUUGUGGGUUGAGAUAAGAUACAACUAGGUGUAAAUUCUGAGGUUGAAGUUCUGAGGUUAGACAUAAGCAAACAAAAUUUCAAGAUAUAAAUUCUGGCUAUCAUAAAUCUUUUGGAAUUAUUAAAAAUAAAAAUUAUUCUUAGUCAAUGAAAUUUUGAUUUAAAAAUAUUAUUUCUGAUCAGUAAAUUCUGAUCUGAAACUUAUUCUUUGGUUCUUUUUUAUGUUUUAUGUUUCUUUUUGUUUCUGAUUUGUUGGAUUCAGAAAUGAGCACGUAAAUGUACAGUCAAGUCAAAACAAUAACAAAAUGGAAAAGAAGUAAAUAACUAUCUGCUCUCCUUUUAUAGUUUAGAUACUAAAAUUCAAAUUUUCUCAGGGAUAAAAAAAAUCACACACUGUUUGAAAGAGCAACUCUUCUAAACUGAUUGGUAUAGUUAUCUUUCAUCAUCUACAUCAUUUCUAUCAGCUUUUAAAGAGGGAAAAGGCAUAAGUACCCUACUGAACUACGACCAAAGUUCCAGGGACACUUUAUCUUUACCCUAUUACCACCCUAUACUAUUUUACCACCCUGAACUAUUUUAAAGUGUAAUAAACACACCCUUAAACGUAAUAAGAAUGAUUCCACUUUUUUCUGGUGGGGAGAAGGUUUUCCCUUAAUGGAGUAUGUGUGUGAGGAAGAGGAAGACGAUUUAGUAGAAUAAAUGGAUGGGAAAACGUCGGAAAAAAUUCAUUGGCGACUUCUAUACGUGGUGAGCGUGUGAAAAAAUCAAAUUUUAGUUCUAGAAAAUGAAAAAAAAAAAAAAAAGAAUUUCACUCUAUUUCACAAAGAAAGAAAGGAAAAUAAUUAAAAAAAUAUCAACUUAAGUUUUAAUGUUAAUUAAUUAAGUGUCCAAAGUAAUCAUAUUUUAACUUUUUUUCACCCCUAACAUGCCUCCGAGUGAGUGAGCACACUCUUUGUACCACCUCAACACUGAAGGGUGUAUUUAUAACACUUUAAAAUCGUUCAAAGGGGUAAUAGGACCCCCGUAAAGGAAAGGUGUGUUCCUGGAACUUCGGUCAUAGUUUGUUUUGUGUUGUGGUUACGGAAGAAAAAAAAAAGGCAAGUGAAUCUAAUUUGAAAAGCUAAAAUAAAUAAUAUUACCUAUUAUAUGACAAUAAUUUUGUAUUACCUAAAUAUAAAAAAAUGGAGAAAUAAAAUCUUCAGUGGGAAGAGGCGAGUUGAAAAUUAAGUGGGUUAAAGGUUCAACCCCCGCCUCAUUGCCACCCCUAGCUGUAGAACAACAAAAGCCAUGUAUGGGAGGGGAAACAUUCAUCAAAAUGAAGACAAGUCAAGAGUAGCAAAAGAACUUAAUUCAUGCAAAAAGUUCAAAUAAAGUCAUGGUGUUUUUGAAAGAUGAGAACACUUCAAAUUAAUUUGAUGGAAUCUUGUACCAACUCCAACUGGAAGGGGAAGAGGAACCAGAUGCUACUCUGUUUUAGGUCCCCUUCAUGCCUCAUUUUGGCCUAUCUCAUCACGAAACUUCAAAUGUCAAAUCAACUCAAUGAUUUAUUCAACAUCCAUGUAAAAAAAAUACUUUAAAGAAGAUUCACUAUUGCAAAAUCGAUGUCAAAUUCCAUUCUUUAGCUUCAACAGUGCAUAUCUAAGGAAAGUAUUGGACAGUAAAGAUGUAGAUGGUAAUUGAAAUUCAACAUUACUAGGAGACACAAAAGGAUAAAGAUCUUACAAUGCGAGAUAUUUCCCAUCCAAACUUAUUGUCAUAAUGGAAGCUGGCUUAUUAUAAAGGCUUUUAUGUCCAAUUUUCUUCCAUGUACUGAUGUCCCAAACCGCAAUCAAUGUCUUAUUGCCUGUUUUAUUGACACAAAUUUGGAUAGUUACACAAUGUUUUCAAUAAGAAAAAUUACGCAAUCUCAAUUUAAUAACUUCAUUAACUAAAGCCAGACUUUAUUCUUUUAGAAUACCUUUCUGAACAGUAGUGAACAAAAACGGUUUUGUUCCAUCUUUAGAGAAUCUGCAGAGCUCAAUAUUCUCAUCCUGCAAAUGUGGAAGACAGGAUAUUAUAACAUCAACAUAAAAAUGGAUAACCAAUUGUCUAACAGGUAAGACGUCAUAUUAUUCAGAACUUACUGCGUUUCGUGACAAAGUUACUGGAACACCGUCCCUUGUGUUCCAUAUUCUGGCGGCACCAUCUGUGGACGUGGAAGCUAAGAACUCUGAAUCUAAGCUGUAUAUAUAUAAAAAUAGGAAAAGACAUUAAAAUCUUGGUCAAGAAAAUCAUAGGAACAAUAAUUCUUAAGAUUCCACAAUCCAUGGAUUAAGUAUCAUUUCUGCAACUGCAAUAAGAGGCACAGUAUAUUCAAGACUCUUAAAUCUUUUGAAACUUUUUUUCUAGGAAGAUUUCAUGAUCAUAUCAAAAAUCAGAUUCACAAUUCAAAACUCAAAGAGUAUAGCAUGAAUGCAAAUCCAUGCAUAAAUGCAUGUAUUAUGGUUUCUUGAUCGGGAAUGUAUCGUUCUUGAAAUAUCAACAUGUUUAGUUCUUCUAUGACAUUUCUCACUUCUUAAAUAUAACCAAUAACAGAUAAAGUAAAAUUCUGUAUACAAAUUCAGUUAAUGUAGCUUUACAUCCCAUAAUAUUCACCUCAAAGAUAUAAUCCUGCAAAUUAGGUCACCGUUCGUCUCCUUAUUCACUUUUAAUUCCACAUGAGAACAAACUACUUUAAACACUCAGAUAAGAUCACACAGAGCAACAUCAACAAUUUGACAAUCUGGUGUGAUGCGUAACAGAUGAACCAAAAAUAUAAAAUCCACAUGGGACUAUAAUUGGAUGAAAAAGGCAUUUCAUUCUGAUCUUUAAAGUGAAAAAUCUACAUCAGAAUUGUUAAAAGACACAAGACUAAGAUCCUUCACUUCAUUUUCCAUCACUUGGUUUCUUUAGAAUAUAAUCGACGUUUUCAGCACUAAAGUGUGAGAAAUGUAAGAGAACAAGAUGUAUCACUAAUCAACGCAAGUGCACAGACACUGAAGAUUAUACGUCCCCAGAGCUCAUAUCAGGUAAAUUCUCACAUAUGAUAAAUAACGGAGGAUUAUGUACAACUAUAAUCUGAGUAAAGCUAACUAUACCUGAAAUCCAUGUCUCUGAAUGACUUGUGAGCUUUAGGUUCAUCCACAAUAAUGCGCAUGGUUGGCCACUCAAAAAGUCUAAAAUGUCCAUCCUUCAAGAUUCAAAGUAAUACAAAGUCAGGACAACAAGGCAAUAUCCUCGUGAAAUAUAAAAGACAUUAUCUUUCACAAAAUUGCUUACAACUCCGCCUGUGGCUAAUUUGGAGCCAUCACCACUAAAGGCCAUGCAUUUUUGUGGACCAACAUCUUGGAUAGGAAACUCCUUGCACACAAAUUUUAUAUUAUCUUCAUGACCAUAUAAGUCAAACAACCUGCAGGAAACAGCAAACAAUAUAUCCCCUUCCCUGGUAAAGAAAUAAAUAAAAAGCAAGACAAUAAUCAUAUUGAAAACUCAUGCUAGUUAUCUCUAUGUUCCUUUGUUGGGUGACAAACUUAAUCACUAAUGUGAAAGGAUAACUAUCGGCCAAAACAAGACCUGAAUAACCUUUGCUUCAAAAAGGGGUCAGCACAACUGAAAGCUGUAAAACACAUGUCCACGCCGAAACAUAGUACUGCAUUGAAUUUAUAUGAAAAUACAUACAUAAUGGAAUUUUUUCUUUCAUCAAUAGAUGUAAAACCAUGAAUGCAACAUUUAGGAUCAUCCAACCACUGCUACUCACAUCACUAGCAGUCAGGUCUCGAGAUGUUCUUACCAACAUAUACUAAUGAUGCCAAAUAAAAAUCUUCCCCUAUUACAAAUGAAACUAAAGUAUUUUAACUGGUUCGCUGUCUAACAUCUUUCAUAUCAUGUUCGUGUUCGGUGACCUUCGCUGAGGUUUUUGAUCUACCUCCGAAACCUAAAUCCAUAUUUUUAAAUGGCUAUUGCCUAGAUUAAGUCUUAAAAAAGGGGGCUGUCCGUAGAAAGAAUUAACUCCAGGCAGGCAUGGAUUUGAGGUUCACUCAAGAUCCGGCUUCCCUCUGGGGAAUUAAUUACAUACACAAGGUUUCUAAAUGGAAACAUAUCAUAAUAAUACUCAUCAACUAACAGUACUAGUCCUGUUCACCUACUGCACAGUAACACAAUCACCAAUCAUAUAUUUCAUGAAUAACAACAGCAAAUUCAUGCAUAAGUAAUCUUCAUUCAACAUACAAACAAAGCCAAAAUCAACAAUUCGAAAUCACAAGGCAUUAAACCCAUUCAUACCAACUACCAAAAAAAUCAAUCAUUUUCACAACAAAAACAGUAAAAAACCAACUUCCAGAAUAACUUGAAAUUAAAAUCGAAAAGGGCUUCAAAAUUUACUUGCAACCAGUAGUGGUGGAGCACACAAAAUCAUCCCCACUUGGAUGUACCGCAAUCCUCACUGGCUCUCCACCUUCCUCCAACACAUACGUCGCCUAAUAACCAAUACCCACAAAAAAAAAGUUCAAAUUUCACCACAAUCAGCAAAAAAUCACAGAAAUCACAGUAAAUGCAACACCCCCACAACUAAAAAAUUCAUCUAUUUAUACUAAUUCCAACCUGGGUUCAGUAAACAACAAAUUCAAAAAUUGUUUAAUGAAAACAAGAAAAGGGUACCUUAGGAGAAGAAGAAAGAGAAGUAUUCUCGGAAUUAAAGGAGAAAAUCUCGAGCGAAGAACAAGUUCCGGUCGACUUUCCAAUCACCACCAGAUGCGUGUUUUCCGGCCGUUUGAUCCACGAUGCACACGUCACUUUCCCUUCCACAGAUACAUCAGCACCGUCCAUUUUUUUAAUCUUCAAAAACUCCACAAAACCCAAAAACCUCAAGGUAACAACAAUGGCGGAAAAAAAAGUGAGUUUUUUGAGUUUCAGUGAACAUUGAAAUUUAUAGACUUUUUUUAUUUAUUUAUUUUUUAAUAUAAAGUGUGAAAAUACAUAAGAUAUGGUGGGUCCCGUAGAAAAACAGGCAAAGUGGGGCCCAGGAUAAGUAUUGUCAACGGAUUUUUGGAUAUUCCAAAUUAGGAACUAAUAAAUAAUUAUGUGGGAGUACUUUGGAAUUAGCAAAUUAUAAUAAAUUUUGCACGUCUGUUUAUUGUUUUGUUGACUGAUUAAACAAGAGGAAAAUCCAAAAAAAAUAAAAUAAUGAAAAAUACCUUUAAAUUCGAUGGAAAUUAUUACAGUACACUUUUAAUUGUUAUAAUUUUCUUUUUUAGAGUCAAACUAUAAAAAUUUUAACUAACAUUUAUGAUGUAUUUUUUCAUCAUAUUAAUAUGCAAAAAUUGCAAUUUAUAGUACUUUCCAUAUAGUUUUUGAAUAUCUAAAUUUUUUUGUUAAGAAUAUCAAAUUAAUGUAAUCUAAUUUAACUUUGAAAAUUAGGCAAAUUGACUUUCGAAAAGUGCAACACGACAAAUAAAAGUGGAUGGAGCGAGUAGUUCAUUCUUGAAUUAAUGACAGUCUUAAAAAUACGUUUUUAUUUGACUAAUUGAAUUUAAUACAUCUAAAUCUUAUAAAAUGACUAAAAUACACUCCUAAAUUUUCGUCAAGUUUAGAAGUAUUUUCAGCACUUCUCUUGGCUCAUUAUUAAGCGGUUCAUGCUCCUACAAGAAUUUGAGACCACUUGUUAUGUCAUAUGGCAGAUUGGGGUGUAUGUAAGUUUUGUUAGGGGGUGUUCGGAUUGGCUUAAGAGUAGGUCAAACCUACUUUUAAGUCAGUUUUUUAUUUCUGAAAGUGUUUGACUAAUAUAAAAAAAUAACUUAAAAUAAGUAAAAAAUGACUUAAAAUAAGUUAGAAAGUGUUUGACAAAAUCAAAAUGACUUAAAAUAAGUCAAAAAUAAAAAACAGGUCUCCCCCUACUUUUUAUUUUUUGAGUUAAAAGUCAUUUCAGUUUGAUUUUUUAUUUUUUGACUUAAAAGUCAUUUUAGUUUGACUUUUUAUAUUUUUGACUUAAAAGUCAUUUCAGUUUUACUUUUAUUUUUUUACUUAAAAGCUAUUUUUUAAAUCGAUCCAAACGGGCUCUUAGUCAAGUAGAGGGUGGUGUUUUUGAGUCUAUCAAUAGUUCGGAGACGAAACUAAUAAUUUACGUCAAGUUUAGGGAUAUCUUCAAUACGUCUCUCAUAAAAGAAACAAAAAGUCAAAAACACGUGAACUGUCAUUUUUUUGUAAAGUUUAACUUUUGAUUAUUAGUUAUUUCAUUUUUCUACCUAAAUUAUCACGUAUAUAUGUAUUAAAACACAUCUAGUUGAAUAAAUAACGACAGUUCAAAUAGAAAAAGGAAAUAAAUCAUAAUGACGUAUAGGCAAUGCUAAGAUGUGUUUUAAAGUAUAGAUUGUAAUAGUCCAUGUAGAAAAAGACAAUAAUUAAUAAUUGAGAUGUGAAACUCGUAAGAACAUGAUAGUUCCAACAUUAUUUUGAUCGUGACUCAAAUAAUAAGAUAAAGUAUGUAUUCAAUAGUUUCAGCUAUAUUUCUCUCUCUUUGGGUGUAUAUAUUUGGUAUGAACGAAAAUAUUCUUCAUAAAAAACAUUUUUCUCCAUACUAAACACCCUUCACUUCCAUUUGAUACGAAAGGUAUUUAAUUAGAAAACGUAAAAAAAGGUAAUUUAAAAACAAAUAAUAUAUAAGUCAACUAUAUACAAAUUGUCAAAAAUUAUCAUAAUUUUACAUAUAUUUUCUUUCUAUCUCGUUUUAAUAAAAGAAAAAAUAAUAAUCUUUUUAAAUUGGGAAAUUAUUAUUGUAAGUCACGUUAUUAAGAACAAAAUAAAAAUGUCUAAGUCAACUAAUUUCCAAAAAGAGACAGUAUGAGCAGGAAUUGGUCAUCUUAUUAUUUUAUUGAAUCAAUGAAGUAAUGUUUGAUUUUAUUUUAUUUUGGUAGAAAUGAUUAGCUUUGGAGAUAUAUUUUGGCAUAUUCCUAAAACGUGAUUCAAGGUUAUCAAUUUCAUAAUAUGUUUUUUAAAAGGGUCGUAUGGGACUUGAAUUUCAUAUCGAUGUUGCAAGUGUUAAUACAGGAUUCAUUUUGCAUAACACUAACUUUCUCAUCUCAACAACUAGUUUUUAGAGUUUGCUUCGUCCUGGAUCAUAAUAAUUGUAUCAGAGUUAUUCCACUCUUCAUACUCACCAUACCAUAAAUAAUGAUGUCGGUACUGCAACUUUCGUUUGGGACUAACAAUGUAUAUAGUGCACAAUCAAUUGUGGACGUCCGAGUACCUAACUAAAAAUUUGUUAUAUGAGAAAUAGCUACAUACUUGUGAUAGAGUAAACAUAUAUAUUUAUUCUAGGAUUUCUUUUUACUUCUACUGGCACCAAAUUGUUAUCUCGUUUUAGGAGUGAAUAUCCAAUCUACUGUCAAAAUCGUUUCAUUAGCGAUUGGCAAGGUCUGAUCACGUACUUUUGCCUAUUUUUUUUACUUUUGGUAUAUUUUGCAUCUUCUUUACAAUAAUACAUUACUUCAUUACAUGAUGCUAAUGUCUAAAAAACUUACCAUCUGCUUCACAAUUGAUUGUGCGUUCAUCAUUGGCUCAUGCUUCACCCUCAAAGAUUGAAAGAAUCAAUUUACACACACGUCUAUUUAACAAAUCACAAUAUGGUAUUACAUUAUUUUACCUUUAACUCUUCCCUCGUAUAGAAUCGACUAAAAUAUUCAGUAUAUAUUCUUAAUAAAAACUUUGUAACAUCCAUUAGUUUUAGGAACUAAAAUAACAUAUUUUAAUUAAUUAAAGAUCAAAUAUGCUUUAAGUCAAAUAACAUAAAAAUCGAAUUCGCAAUACGAUAAUAAUUUGAGGAUUGAAAUUACUUUUUCCCUUUUUAAAAAAAUAAGUACAAGCUAAAUGGCGAUGUCAAAAUUGACAUAUGUGCACUUUGCCCCUUUUUAUUCUUGAUUUUUAGAAGUGGGCCAAAGUGAACGAUGGCACUGCUUUAGCUUUAAUGAGUGGCCCAACAAACCCAUAAAAUGUUGUCUAUGUUUGCAAAUUCUUAAUUUCAAAAUUAUAAAGAAUAAUAUUAGUUAAAAUCUAGUAAUAUUACCUCCGUUCUAUUUUAGUUGAUCAUCUUACUAAAAAUAGUUGUCUCAUAUUAGUUGAACACCUUACUAAUUCAAGAAAAAAUUAAAUAAAUUCAUUUUGUAUUACCCUUGCAAUUAAUUCUUUUUGAAAGUGUUUACAUUUGAUUGUAAAAUGCCAAGAAACUUUUUAAGGGGUGAAUUAGUAAAAUUAUCCUUUUGUUUAUGAUUUCUUAAUAUGCCGGUAAAGAAACUCAUAUGGAACGGAGAAAGUAAUAUUUUGAGACAAAAGAAGUAGGUUUUGGUUAAACUAAAAAGUCAAUAUAUAUAUAUAUAUAUAUAUAUACUGAAUGUGAUAUCAACAUAUAGCAUAUUCGAAAUAAUUAAGUCUAUCCACAUAUUUUAUGCUACCAAAUCAACAAUUUAAGAUCGAUGUAAUCGAUCCACUACUAAGAAUCAUCUAAGGGUGUCGAAAUGCGUACAAACAUAGAAGGAGAGUCACAAAAUAUAUUCAAAUCUGAAACAAGGUACAUAAAAGGAAGUACAUCCAUAUUCGAAAUAAAACUACAAAAAAUCAAGAACAUACUGAACAAUAUGUAGGACAACCUUGGUUACUCCAAUAGAGUUUAUUAUCUAUCGAUAUAAUAUUUCCAACCACCACAACACUAGUCCGUGAUUUGUUGUAACACCCCGUAUGCUAGAACUAUCAAAAUGCACAUUUCAAAAGUUGCAGGCGCCACCGACGGGCACUACCCACGGACCGUGGUCCAGGUCCGUGGAUCGAGCCCUCAGAACCUGGUCUCUGAAGUUGAUCGACGGAUUGACAGGACGGAUCGUGGAUUAGUCCUCGGACCGUCGAUCCGUCUGUAGAUCGAGACCCUCAGGGCCCCAGAACCCAUCAUUUGAAGUCGAUUGACGGACUGACAGGAUGAAUCAUGGAUUAGUCCACGGACCGUCGAUCCAUCCGUAGGUCGACACCUUUAGGACCCCCUCGAACCCAUUCUCUGAAGUCGAUCGAUGGACUGACAGGACGGAUCGUGGAUCGGUCCGUAGGUGGCUUCAGCAGAUUUUAAGUCAGGGGUCAUUUGGUUUUUUCCUUAUGCGUAAGACCCCUAAACUACGUCGUUUAACCCCUAAACUAUGUGGUUUUUUGGUCAAUUUUAGCCUAGUAACUAAAUUAGAAUCUACCCUAAGCAAAUCAUUCACCAUAAAAACUUAGAAAAUUAGAACGCAGAUGGAGAAAAAGUCGACCAAGCCCUAGCCCAAAAACGCAACAGGUUUUCAUCAGUUUCAUCCUCGAAAUUGAAAGAUUUUUCCGUGGAAUUCUUCACCAGGUAUGUGGGAUUUCACUAGUGGGUUCUUUUUAGGUCCCUAGAUUUCAGUCAGAAUCUUGGCUCCCUUAAUAUUAUCUAGACCUAAGAUUUCUUGAAUGUUAAAAUUGUUGGGUUUUAGCUGUUAGAAUGAUCCAAAUCAGAUUAUCAUGUUAUUGCUCAGUUCCUUGUAUAAUAUUCAGAACUCUAGUUGUAUAUAUUCGUUUGGUUCAUGAACAAUACAUGCUAGGUCAUAUAUAUAUAUAUAUAUAUUUCAGUUUACGAAUGUCAUAUUAUCAGUCAUAAUUGUUACAUUCUCACAGUUUGCAUAUCAGUAAUUGAGUUAUCUAGUACUUCAACAUUUCAGUCAUAAUAUUGCUUAUUUACAUUAUAAUUAGGAGUAGCUUAAUACCGAGUGGACUAGAGUCAGUCACCCUCAAGUCCCAGAACUACGUGCCCCGUAGGUUAUAAGUCCUCUAUGUGGGCAUUAUUUUAGUGAUCACGUCAGUCAUGCCUCUAUUCCUUUGUCUAGGUAUUUUAGGUCCUCUCGAUGGGGCAUAUACAUCGGACUCCACAUUUAUCUCAUGUGGUUUUAUGUCGGUUAUUAGUAGCUCCCUUACAGUCAGAUUCUAUUGCAUUGACCAUGUUAUUAGUUUUAGUUCACAUUUCAGUUUUAGCAUGUUAUAAACUUGGUCAUUCCAUUCAGUCAUUUCAUGUUCAAUAUUUUCAAUUUAGUAUCAUGCUUACCUCUUAUCAUUGCUCAGAUGUAUGCUUUGAUUCAAUUAUGAUUAUUGUUCAGCUUUACUCUAUCCUACAUGCUCAGUACCUUUCAAGUACAAACACAUACUAUGCGCUACAUCUUCUCAUGAUGUAGGUUCAGAUUCUCAGCUUCCAGAUCACGCAUAGAUCGGUUCCCAAUCUUCAGUUCAACAACAUCAGUGGUGAGUCCUCAUUCUUCAAGGACGAGUGACAUGAUUAUUUCCUUUGCUUCUAGUCUUUUAGUUUCAAUUUUGCUAGAUUUAGCUGGGGGCAUGUCUCAGCACUUCUAGUCAGUUUAGAGGCUUAUUUAAGACAUAGUUAAAUUCAGCUAUAGCGUUAGAGUUUGACUCUUCAGUGUUGUUUAAACUUUCACUUUUAUAUAUUCAGAUUCAAUAUAUGGGUAUUCCCUAUCAUUUCAGGUUAUCUUAUGAUUUAGCUUCCGCACAGUAUUUUCUUACUUCAGUUUAUUUAACAUGAUUAUGAUAUGUCAGCAGGAUUAGCUUGGGGUCACUCGUGAUCCUAGGUCCCGUGUCCGCAUCCUGGGAUAGCUUCGGAGCGUGACAUUUGUAGAGCAAUUCUUUACCACUAUAAGCUUGGCUAUAUUAAUGUCCAUGUAAUUUCAGACAAAUAUUGUUAUCCCAAAUUCUAUAAUUAAAGAAUCCUCUGUUUCGCUUAGUUUCAACUUAUAUUACUGUUUCUCAAUUUCAAUCUCCAAAAGUCAAUUCACAAGUUGAGUAUGUCAAUAUCUAUCAUUAAUCACCACUUUAAAUGUCCUUGAUGAUUGUAACGAUUCUCUUAGUCAUUUUAUGAAUUUUAUCCAUUAUUUUUGAGUUUAACCCUUUUAGUAUCUAUUAUAAAUUAUUUAUCACUUGUGAGAAUGAGUGAUAUAAUUUUCAGAUUAAAUAAAUAAUUGUUUCUGUUGCUAAUAACAAUGGCACAAAAAAAAAAGUAAAAUAAAAUAUAAGGGCAAAUGUCUAAAAUAGAAAAGGAAAAGAAAAAAAGGCAAAAGCCCUAAAAAUUUAAAAUCAGCUAAUGCUGAAACAUACAUAAAAGAAAAUUGCAGGGGCAAUUUACGCAUAGGAGAAAUGAAAGGGAAAAAAAGAAGGGGAAAUUUUUUGGAUUAUUCUCGUUAUUUUUAUGUGAUUAUGAACAGAUUUUUUGAUUAGAAACGUGUAAAAUUUAUGCUAAAUCAAGAAAACAUAGGCUUAGGGCUCUUAAAAUAAAAUCUUGAUUUAGGAGUUGAAUAACGAUCCGUUUUAGCUAAAAUUCGACAUGCAAGUUUAUUUUAUUAUGGGCGACAUCAUCUGAAAGAAACUUUCAAAUUCGAAUUCAGUGGCUCGGGAUGAUUUUUUUAUCCGAUUUUUAACCGAAACUAAAUAUAGCAAUAUAAGUGUCUACGGGCUUGUUUACUUACAAAUAAUGCAUAUUUGAUAGAUUGGAAACGUUCCGAAGCUUUACGAAAGUUAAAGACAAAAUCUUGAGUAUCAUGAUAUGUGUUCGGCAUUCAAAGUAUGUUAAGACUUUCUAAACUUCUUGUUAACUUGUUUUGAUCUAUGUAGUCAUUUGGAACUCUCAAAAAGUCCGUCAACGAUUCAUCAUUAUAGAUAAUCCACCCUCCAAAAUUUACUUGUCUUUCUGAUAAAAAUGAAGUAGGGUAUUUUUCAACUAUAAUCAAUAUUAUUUAUACCCAUUCUUUUAUAAAUCGAUGGAGGAAAUUAUGAUAUUAGUCAUUAAUUGAAUACUUAGCAUUGUGUUUGGAAGGACAAUUAUAAUGAACGGUAUUUCCGUAUAAUUUCACCAUCCCAAUAAAUUGAAACUCUAACUUUUGUUUCAGAAUACAUUUCUUUUGUGAUUGAAAUGAAGAAAAAUAGAAGAUUAAAGGUGUUGAAGGUACUAUGUUUGAACGUCUUUAAAUAGUACUUGGUGGAGUUUAGAGAUUAAAAAUACAUAAUGUAAUAAAAAUAAAAAUAUAAAUUGUAUGGCAAACACAGCAAAAACUACAUAAAGAGACACAGUUUAAUGUAAAACAAAAAAGAAUAUUCCUUUUUGUAGAACAAAUUUUUUUCUUCCAUUUUGUAAAGUGUAAGAAACAGUUACACUUUAUAACGUGUAGGAAAAGGUUACAUUUUAUUCAAUGAUGAACAAAACAAUUCCGUUUUAUGUUUAAAUAUAGACGUUAACAAAUUAAUGGCCACAGUUAUUUUAGUAACUUUCUAGAAUUGUGACUUAUUUGAAUCAAUUUUAUCUCUUUAUUGCUCAAAUAGAUUCCGGACUCUAGAUACUAUUUAGAUGGAAAAGUCAUUUUUGCCCUUGAUCGUUCCAUUCAAGACUUUUCUAUAUAUAAACUAGAUAAACAUGCAUGUGCUUAGCACGGGCCCAACAUUUUAUAUUUUUAAUGGUGGAUCUUUAACCUAGUUAUUUGGAGGCACAAGGUGGGAGUAAAAACUAAACAAAAAUGAGAAAAAUAGAAGCACAUGAAAAACAUAGAGCUAAUAUUAAGUAAGGUGCACAGUUUGUUUUUUUUUUGGUUUCCACCCGGUGUCCUGAGCCCACAUUGGAGCUCCGACUAAAUUUGAAUUGCGCACUGCAGGGCCAUUCGAGGGUGGCGUUCCCAACAAGAUAUACUAGUACAACACGGUAUAGUACUAACAAUCAUCUUUUUACUCAAAUUUCCAGCAGAAAAUAAACAUUAAAAAGGCAUUAUACAACAGAUUUAUGAAGUACUUUGAUGGUACCUAUCUUCUUUUUCAUUUUCUAACUAUCUGCUAACUGGUAGAAUAGAUGGAAUCACCCAUGAAAAGCAAUGACCUUCCAAUACAAACUUUUGAAAGUUCACUUUAUCAUAUCUCAUAUAUACGACACUAUACCAGCAAAAGGCCUACAAAAAUUCUUAAAACUGUAUCCACCUGAGUUAUGUAUUUCAAAUUCAUCACCGAUCAAAAGCUAGAAAUCCUUUCACUUCAUAUUAGUUUAAAUGAUAAAUUGUUCAUCAGUUUACUAUGAGCAUUUGUCUAUUCACAUUCAUCCUAUAUAAGACUAAUAAAUUUAGUAGGAUACCAUUUUAAAUAUCCAAUGUCGAGAAAUACUUUGUAUAUCUGAUGAGAUAAAUGAACAUAAUCUAAAGCAGAUACAAGAGACAAUUGAUGUUGAGCUUCAAUCAUCCUCAGACUUCUAACAAAACAGCUAUAAGAAAAUGGAAGAAAUUUAUCAUUAUCACAUAUAUCGAGCCUCCAUUGGUUGGAUAAACAAGUCAAUCUCAAGUUCAAAUAUCGACUCUGAACUAUAAAAGAAAAAGAAGAUAUCUUGAACAUGAAAAAGAAAGAAUUUUGAUAAAGAAUGCACCAACCUGACCAGUAUGACAAUAGCAGGAUUCCUCUUGAGCUCCUUAGGGAGUUUGGUCAUGGAAUUCAGUAGUUACAAUCAAGGUAAAUAGCUUAGUCUUUUAAAAUUCUUAGAAGAAUUAGUCAUUUCCCCUUCAAUUGAGGCUAACAUAAGAUAUUUGCUAGCUUCAGUGAAACAGAUUCAAAAGAAGACAUAAUUUAGUUAGUGGUUUAGAGAGAAGCUUUGUUUCGGAUUCUUUUAUUAACACUGAAACACUGUACCUUUUUUAUGAAACACUAAAACAAUAUACUCGAAGCCUGUAUGAAUUAAAAAUCAUAUUGCCAGUUAAAUCAAAGUUAAUAUGCCAUCAAACUGAAUGACACUUGGGGAGAUAAAAUCGCAGUCACAUUUUACGGCACACAAGAUCUCCCUGUGCAAGUCACCUACAUACAAUACUUGGGAUUAUUUUAGGUUGAAGUUAAUUUUCCAAGAAAAAUAUGGAUUCACAAUUUAAAAGAAAAGAGUAAGACUUUCCUUGUCUCAUUAAAUAAAGGGAAAAAGGACGGAUUUACCCCCGAACUUUGAUAAAUGGUAUGUAUAUGCCCUCCGUUAUACUUUGCGUCCACUAAGCCCC
rnacentral:lncRNA from 1 species